rnacentral:lncRNA from 1 species
AUUUUGUGAGGGUCACCACUCAUGCACAAAGGAGAUCACUAGUUCAAGAUGAAUAUGUUACUUUAUCAAAUGCAAUUCUUUGUUACUUUUGGCUGCUGGACAAGAGCUCCUCUAUAAGCUAUAAGAAUGAUGCAUCAAAAAGGAGUUUAUUAACUCACCAGUUCUGGCUUAGAUAGUUUGUAUAGUUAGCCAGAGAUUUUUUGUAAGCUCAAAUGCCAUAUAUUGUAAUUCUUGCAUCUUCUUGAUGCUGUUAUUAAUACCACUUACUUUAUCCAAAAAAAAAAAAGAAUAAUACAUCAAAACACAACAUCCAUGUUAAGCUUGUGCAUAGAGAGGUUGUUUCCGAUAGACCCUCGGCUCAAGAAAAACAUUUUCCAGAACAGGUUUUGAAAAUUAGUGUUUGUCCAUGAAAAAUCCAAAUUCAACUUGAAGUUACAUUUUUUUGAUUUGCAAAACAUCUUUUAACUUGUUUUCAAACUCACUUUUCAAUUUUGAAGUUGUAUUUAAGUACAUUCAAGUAUGAACGUUAUUCCAAGUAUUCAUUGCAAAAAGUAUAACCAAAAACAAUUCAACUCCAUAAAUUCCUUUAAAAAAGUGAAAAAUAUUUGGAAUCUACAGACAAAUGCCUACUAAGAUUCAGAACUUUUAUGUAAGCAUCAUUGACCUCUUUUAUUACUUUUAGCCUAAGAGUGUAAACUGGGAGCCACUAAACGUGAAUGAGAAAAAUACCUGAUAUAGAUAAAAUCAUGGGAAGACCAAUAGUAAUAAUAUCAUUGAUUCACAUAUGUAAAUCAUUAGCAGUUAUACUCUCAGAGGAAACAAAAAACAGGACUACAAGAGAUACCUUGAAGUAGAAACAUCAUCUGAAUAACCUCUGAAAGUUCUGUUAUCACCGCUAAGCAUGGACCGUCCAUGUGCUCUAAAUGAAGGAUGCUCAGGACUGAAAGGAUAUAAAGCAAUUGAAAAAUGAGAAAAAAUAACACAGCUACACAUUAAGAUAUUGAACAGCUCAUUUCAAGUAAAUGUGGAUAAAAGACUCACUUUGAUGUUUGCUAAACACAGAUUAAACAUCUAAGUCCCAAUUAAUUCAUUACAUGCAUUAAAAGAAAUUCUCCAAAUAAUUGUCAGGAGUUGAAAACAAAAACCAUGACAAGCACUCAAAAAUAUAUACAUACUUAUUUCCAUCUAUGGAUCAAUAAGUUAUAUCCAAAUCUCACAUGUGAAGAUAAAGUAGAAAUAUGUGAGAAGUUAAAGUAGAAACUAGUCAUUCAGGAGGUACCCCGAAUGUAAGCUCCACCAUGAGCAUGUCAAACACAAGUAGCAACUUAAUGUAUUGUAACUUGUAACCAUCAUUUGUCCAAACAAAGCCUGGAAAUUCCUUUCUCAGAGUCUUCUUUAAAACUAAUUCAGGGGGUAAGUGUUUUUAGCUUAGCACUUUCACAUAAAGGUACAAUUGUAUUCUUUCAUGUAUGCUUGUCCAAUUGCAGAAUAAUUCCAGCGAAACCAGAAAAUGCGUCACCAAAUAAGAUUCAGUUUUUUCAAACUCAGAAUAAGAACUUAGCAACAGCACCAAGGAUCACAACGUCCUCAUGCCAAGUGAUUUAUCGUAUGGAGUAAAAGACAAUAGUAUAAUACUGUCUGAUAUUAAAAUGGAACUAAGUCAGAUAAAGCCGAACAAUCAUAUCUGGAAACCCGACAUUAUGCAAUGUGCAAUACAGAAAGUACCUUAAUCUCAGAACACAGACCUCAAACAUUCUGUUUCAAAAGCAUGUUGUCCUUUACGCUCAAGCUACCCAACAUGAUGAAUUUGUGUUCAUCUUAUGCCCUACAUGGCCUGCUUGGCAGCAUUUUUCUGAUUAUCCAAUCAAGGAUAUGUUCACCAGAACAAAGUUUGGUAACAUUGAGUUCCAUUAAUGUUGAGAAGCGAUGAAACCAGAAAACCUUACAAACUGAAUACAUAUACAUGUGUCUGUUCCUUAACCAUUUCUAUUACUCACACCCAAAUUCAUGUAACAUACAGAGACAUGUGCAAGCAUGAAUAGACCCUAACAUCACAGGACUUUGAAUAAGAGCAUUAUUAGAAGUCCAAACGACUGAAAAACUUGUAAACAAAACGAAAAAUAUGUCAAGGAAAACAUCAGAAUAGGAGUCUGUGCCAUCAAAAAAAAAAAAAACCUUGAACUUGCAGUCCUCGGUUCUGUUAUAACUUUACUGCGACCUCUUCUCCAAACCGUUGUAGCAGUAUUAGGCGCACUAUGCGAGAAACUGGUACAGAAAUGAUUUACUAAAAAGCAAGCAAAAUAACCUUAGUUUUCAAAAGUAAUUUGACAGACGGACAUCACAAUGUCUUACACUCAAAGAUGGGUCUUUUAACCAUCUUUCAAAAGCUAAAUCAUGGCUUUAAGGAUGAGCAAAAUAAUACCCCAAUUUUCUGUCAAUUGAAGUGUUAGCGCGCAACAUCGUAUUCCUCAAUGAAGGUCCUGCAGCAUUUGAAGAUGCUUCAAAUCUCCUCUGAUACUGGAGGAUGUCAUCUUUCUCAGAACUGUAGAAAUAGAAGAUUAGUUAAAACAAAUAUGUAAGUAGGCAACGAACUGUUUCUCCACCAAAGAAAAAAAAGAAAUUUCUAGGGGGAGAUAUAAUAUGUCUAUGAAGAUUCUCAUCACACAACAGAAGAAGAGUGUUUUUUUAUAUCCAGAAGAAGAGUACAGAAACCAAAUGGAAAAUACUCGUCACACAACAGAAGAAGAGUACAGAAACUAAAUCGAAGUUGAAUAUAUUAAAAAUAAAUAAUAAUUUUCUUCUAACCUAUCAGUAUCAUUUCUCUCUGAAAACCCAUAGAGGGGGCUGUUAGGCUCCAGAGGCGAAUCACAGGAAUCAUUUUCUGCAGAGUCACUCUCCCCAGCAGCCAUGUGGGUGAGGAAAAUCGCCUUGGUUGUUCGUGGAAUAAGUUGACCAGGAAAACGCAUAAGGUCAACAAGUAGCUCCACAGAAUUUAGCACAACAAGUAUAGACAUGUGCUUAUAAGAUUCUGCACACUCAGACCCUUCAGCAGGCAAACCCUGAUUUGAGAACCAUAAAUUUAUAAUAAGUAAAAUAUAAGUAGAUAUGGAAAUGAAAGAAAUGGUAGCAACAAUUCAUAGUAACAAGUAGCAAGACAAUUAUUAGUCCUAAUUUUAGAGAUAAACAGAAAAGUCCAAGCAAAAAUAAGCUUCAAGCUCACCACAACCAGCCGGCAUUCAAAACCUACAGUAUCUGCAAGCAAUUUGAAUAAUAUUGCUCGAGAACGAGAUGAGCUAUGUUUUAUUUGACCCAACAUCUGGACACCUUGAUUGUCAGAAAUCUGAGAGGCUUCCUCAAGUGCAGCUUUAGCAUGACUUAUUUCCGAGUUUGGUCGCUUGUAAACAUCCGACACCUGUAUAGGAAGGCAUGCAAGCAACGGGAGAAAUCACAAAUGUCCAUAGAUUAAACUUCAACCUUUUUCCCUUUUAUAACUGUACAGUUCAAAGUGUAAAAAUACAGACAUCAUAUGUUCCACUAAUUUGGCACCAAAAAUAUUUCAGUUUGAUUGCUUAUGCUGCCCCAUUUUCUACGUAAUUCAGUAAGUUGAGUGACCAUACGAGGAAUUAUCUCUCAAAAAAUUCAAAUAAUUUCCUCUUUGCUGAUUUUUGAAGAUACACUGGAUGGAAAUUCAGCAUCACAGACAAAAAAGAUUUGAGAAUGUUAACCAUCUCAUGGAGUAUGUACUAUGCUUGGGAGAGUCAUAGAAGCUCUCCUGAGCUGGGAAUAAGCAGGUACACAGACAAAGGAUAGGAUUAGAUGGAGAAUUGUCCCAGCUAGUAUCUGGUGGACAAUUUGGAAGGAGAGGAACCUUAGAUGCUAUGAAAGUAAACUGAAUAAUAUGGAGAAAGUCAAAUUGAAUUGUACCUUGACCUUAUGUUUUUGGUAUAACCAGUUGUAUCCCAAUGAUACUGUCUCUAUCAUUGAUGUUUUAGAUGAAUACUCUUGUAAAUAUGGUUUCAGUGCAUAGGUUGCACUGUUUUGGUUUAUAAUAAAUACAGAAACUGGUACCAUUGUCCAAAAAAAAAAUAAGGAAGUCAGCAGAAAAACAUGCAAGUUACAAGAGAAUUUUGCAAACAAGGCAUAUUUUGAUAAAAUAUUAUGGAUGUCAACAUCGUGUCAGGAACUUUUUCUUUUUAUAAGUAACACAAGUUUAGGAAUGAGAAAGGAGGUUCGGUGACUAAGUUAAAUCAGAGGGAAAGGUAACUGUAAUUUUAUAGGAAACAUAAAAAUCACAUACAAAGGGUUUAUGAAGCAUACAUAACAUAGUUGAACUCAAAGGAAAGAACAAAAUUUGGGAUGAACUGCAAAGACAAGAAAACAAGGGGCAAACUAAAAAGUACUAAUCAUCUCUAUACAAAAUCCCAAAACCAGAGAUCAAUUUUCACAGAGCCACCAAUAAUGCAAUAUCCCAAAAUCAGAGAUCAAUCCAUAGAGCCACCAAUUAAUAUGUAAAAAAUGAAACAAACAAGAAAUAAUUAGAAGGGAAACAAAUUGCUACACAGACAUCAGGAAAAGAAAAGGUCAAUAUGUAUGUCAACUACGAGUCACUUCCAAAUUAGUUGGGAUAAGCUACAUGACAUUAUUGUAUCUACAUUGCUCCACAGUCCUUAUCAUUUCCAACUGUAAAGAACUUUAGUGUAAUGGCCUGUUUUGACAGUAGAACGGGAGAGGGGGAGUCAUACCCAUUCUUCUGAAAGACUAAGGCUGGAUAUCUGAAUUGACUGUAUUUUAGGCACCAUAAUCCUGUCUAAUCUCACUUUAUCUGUCUUCUUAUACGGGCUAAAUGUCACCCUUAUACCAUUAAUUAACUUAUCAAAAACUAGGGCAAACAAGUAUGGACUCAAGGAACAAGUGAUAUGCAUAUUUGGGGGGGGGGGGGGGGGGGGGAGGAGANNNNNNNNNNNNNNNNNNNNNNNNNNNNNNNNNNNNNNNNNNNNNNNNNNNNNNNNNNNNNNNNNNNNNNNNNNNNNNNNNNNNNNNNNNNNNNNNNNNNNNNNNNNNNNNNNNNNNNNNNNNNNNNNNNNNNNNNNNNNNNNNNNNNCGGGAGAUGGUGUGGGGGGGGGGGGGGGGGGGUAUAUAAGUCACCCACCAAUCCAGCUAUCUUUUUUAUCAUUGCUGCAGGACUUGCGUUCAAACCUUUCACCAGUGUAACAGUCAGUUGCUUUAGCAUUGUAAGCUUUUUGUCUUUCUUGGCAUCCACAAGUAUAACAUCUGCUCCAAAACCCUCAAGCUCUAAAGCAUGAAGCUCAUCCAACGUAGGAAUGUCUUCAAAACGUUCCUUUAGCCUUUUCUCCUGAGCCAAAAUAGGAGAAGAAAAGAGUGCACACAUUAAAAUUUUAGCAAUGCAAUUUCCUAUCAUAAUUUUUUUUGAGAAAAGGUAACUUAUAUUAUAAACAAAGGAAUACUCAGGACGUAUUCCAGUAAUACUUACAAUCAGAAAUACAAAAGCGUUGUUGUUUUCCUAUGAACUCGUUAAGAAUUCUAAGAUACUAGAAUAUCCUCAUCUUCAUGAGGAUAUUCAUGUUUACACCAAAAAUAGAAAAGAGCUAAACAAUUCAACUUCAUCUUCUCCAUAGAGCAGCUCUUGUUGUCAAAACAUCUCUGAUUCCUUUCCAGCCAAAUAGUCCACCAAAUGCAGGAUGGGACACUAUCAUAAUUUUGUGGCAGCACCCACAUUAGAAGAUCUAAAAAGUAGGAAGGGCACUGGAAAGAUAACACCCAGAGAAGUGUGUCCUUGACAGAAUGUAAAGGUCGAUUUUAGGUAUAUUCCUUGGGAAAUAUAAAGGGCCAGAUUAUUCAAACAAGUUACAAUCGAGGCAAUUGAUGGACCUUGAGAAGACUGUAAUCAUACGGAAAUAUAUACUCUAGAUUAGUAAUUACAAUAGUGAAGUUAACAAAUAUUUGCCAUUCAUGCAACUAGCCAGUGCAGUAACUUCCCUCAAAAGAGGAAACAUAAGUUAAAUAACAGCUUAAGAGUAGAGUUUUUUCUAAUAGAAGUAGCAGUGUAAGAGUUUUUUUGAUCAAGUAAAAGGUUUGUCAUAAAGGAUUUAAUCACAUUGACAUCAUAGAAGCUCAUGGAGAGACCAUCGCAGAUCCAGAUAGAAUCAAGGAAGAGAUUGUGGAUUUCUAUAAGAAUUUAUACUCUGAGACAGUACACUGGAGACCUUUAGUCAACUUUCAAGACGGCUCAAUAAUUAGGGAAGAUGAUAAUGAUUGAUUGCAGAGAGAAUUUGAAUAACAAGAGGUGUUGGAAUGCUUAAAGUUAUGUGCUGCUGACAAAACUCCAGGCCCAGAUGGAUAUUCUAUGGGAUUUUUCCAAUGCUGCUGGGAAAUUGUGAAAAAGGAUGUGAUGGACACUAUCAGAAACUUUCACAGGAGUGAUAAUUUUAAAAAGAGUUUCAAUGCAACUUAUAUUGCCUUGAUUCCUAAGAAAAAUGGUGCCAAAAGUCUUAGAGAUUUCAGACCUAUAGUCUGAUUGGGAGUGUGUAUAAAAUUAUCUUAUAGCUCCUUACUGAAAGGCACAAGAGAGUGAUUGAUAAACUGGUGGAUAGACAUCAAAUGGCUUUUAUUUAAGGCAGACAAUCAUGGAUGUGGCAUGAUAGACAAUGAGUGUGUGGAUUCUAGAAUCAAAUAGCAGACCCCUGGUAUUCUCUGCAAACUUGACAUUGAGAAGGCUUUACAAUCAUGUUAAUUGGAAUUUCCUCCUAAAAGUUCUAAAAGACAUAGGCAGGAUCUAUUUAGCUUACUAUCACACAUUUACUUGUAUUUGAGGAUAUUUAUCCACCUCCUGGGUAAUUUAACUUUUUCCAUAAAAGAAAAUGAUCAUUUUCAUCUCACCCUUAAUCUAAAUACUGACGUUCUAAGAGCCUUCCUGAACUCCUUACCAGCUCUAAUUAACCUCCAAAGGUAUUUAGAAUUUGUAACAUAUGGAUCAAACACCACGCACAAAAACUUUUAUAUCCAUUUACAACAAGGACCAUAUAUCCAUUUCUCAGACUACAGAGAAGUACAGUUUUCUAUUUAUGAGGUAGAACACAUGAGAAAUUUUAAUCUCACUGUUCACCUCAAACCUUCUAUAACAUGAAAAACUGGAGAAAUGGAGCACAGGAACUAGCAACUCCUAUUUGAAGUUUAUCAGAUGUCACCGAAGAAACAGCAUAGAAACAAACAGUUAGAACGCAUUUUGUUGGAAACUAAAGAGGUGCCGACGCACUUGUUUUGGAAUAGUCACUUCAAUCAUAUUACCAUAAAUCUAGGAGUUCAUUUAUAUAACUAUGUCUGUGACCAUAAAAUACCCAAUGAGCUCAAAGUUUGAUUUUCCUUUGAUUUCAUUUUUUGCCAAUUUAGGAAGUAAGGCAGUAAGCAGCAAUCAAAACAAGGAUGAAAUCACCAGAAUGGAUACACAUGACAGCUAUUUAGCACUUCUCACAAUCAAUGAAGACACAAUUUCUUUUCCAAUUAAAAAGAAAAUCCUACAAUCUAAAAUCUAAGUUGUUUUUUUUCUAGAAACUGGGAUUUGACCAUAAUGUAAAUGAUAUAAAGCCCUUAGACAUUACCAAAAAGAAUUAAAAGAGUAGGAUUAUGGCAUGAUAUUGUUCUAACUAUUUUUUCAGACUGCAAGCUCUUUAUACCCCCUUCAAGCUUCCUUUAUCAGUGUGAUCUAUUCAACAAUAAUAAAUAACCUAGAUCAAGUACUUGAUAAAAGAACCUCUUCAGCUACUCACAAAAAUGAGGUAGAUAACUUGAAGAUUUCCUACACCUCAAACGAAUUUAAAAACGAAAACAGGAAAAUGGUUAAGAUGAAUAUACCUUUUAUCAAUGGAUAAAAUAAUAUAGAUGUGGAAGAACUACUGAGAAAUCUGCCAAUGCAAUAUUUCUUUCCCUCAUCCUAUCCUUCAUGGCAUGUAAGUUACUGAUUUUAAGAAAACUCAUAUCAUAAGUGCAUCUAUUAUUAGAAGUGCAUCAGCUGUAUGCGGUUAAUAUUCAAUUCGUUCAGAUCUUAGAUAGCAAAAAUAGUUUUUAAUAAAAUGAAUAUCGCAAUACAAGCAACAAUACAAAGAAUCAUUAGUUUCAGCACUCACAGGAACAACAGAGUAGAAACCAUUUGGUAUUGGUUCAGAAAGUGUUCCAGUUUUCCAGAAAAUCUGGGAAGCAGUCUGAGAGGACAACGCAUUAUAUUCUCUUUCAGUUAGUUCCUGAUUCCUCAUGAUUUCUUCUUUGCCAUCAAGUGAAACGGAUCCAAACUUCUCAGCAAAUUCUGAAGGCCACCAUGCAGUACUGGGGUAUCUAUGGUCUUGAAGCCCAACUUCAUCUGGUAUCUCUUCCAUUUCCAUAGAUAGUUGAAUUUUAAUACCAUCUCAUACCACUCCUACCCCAUAAAGGAGCUUAUAAACUUCACAUAUGGUUUUAGACAAAAUAUCAUGAUCUAACAGCUUCCUCUACUUGAUCUGUGCAAAGCUGAUGUCAUGGACCUGCGAAGUAAGAAUUGUUUGACUCAAAUUGAUGUGUUUCUUCAGCGAAAGACUAUCUAUAAUUCCUUUUAAUGUAUUGCAUGCACUCAAAAGAAGCAAGGCUGUAGCCAGGAACGCUGCAGAAGAACUCACUAAAGCCUUGGACACACCCUUCCCCUCCAAAAUAAAUGUAGAAAAUAGGAAAAUGAAAAUAAGAGAGAAAUAAGGGGCCAUAACAAAAGUAGAGAAUUAAUCACUAUUUCAAGUAUCAGAUUACUAAAACAGAUGCUCUACUACUUAUGAAGAGUAGUCCUUAUAAGAAUAAAAUUGUCAGGUCCACAGCAAUCAAAAGCUCAAAACCUACAUAAUUCAACACGCUUUUUCCUAACCAGUACUAUAAAAACAAUUAAAAACUCAUAAUCUUAUACUUUUAAUGUGAUUUUCAGGACGACUAGAAUGGAAGUGGAGUAUAAUGAUCCCGUUGUACAAGAACAAGGUGAUAUCCAAACUUACAAGUUACAACCACUAUAGGGGUAUCAAGCUACUAAAGCACACUAUGAAAGUUUGGGAGAGGGUCAUAGAGAUGAGGAUGUGGGGGUAUGGUCAUCUCCGAGAACCAAUUUGGAUUCAUGUCAGGGCGGUCAUCUACAGAAGUCAUUCAUUUACCUUGUAAGGAGACCGUUGGAGCUGUACAGGAUAGGAAGAAAGACUUGCAUAUGACCACGUCCCUAGGGAGGUUCUAUGGAGAUGUUUGGAGCCUAGAGGUGUACCGGUGGCUUAUAUUUGGGAAACUAAGGACAUGAACAUGUAUGAUGGUGCCAAGACCCGUAAGAACAUUGGGAGGUGACUCGGAAUACUUUUAAAUUGUGGUGGGGUUGCACCAAGGUUCAACUCUUAGCCCGUUUCUGUUUGCCUUUGAGGACGUGAAGAUGUGGGCGCUUGCACCAGUGAGGAGGUGUGAGAGGUUGGCUAUAGCGAGUGCCAAGAGAGGUAGAGGUAGGUUGAAGAAGAACUGGUGGAGGUGAUAUAGCAAGACAUGGCACACCUAUGGCUUACUGAGACAUGAUCCUAGAUAGAAAGGUUUGGAUAUCGAGAAUUAGGGUAGAAGAUUAGUGGGUAAUUGUCCGUUGUAGCACCUUUAUGUGGCAGAGAUAGGGGGCUAUCUCUUCCCCUUUUCUCCUUAUCAGUAGUAUUCCUAUUUAGUACUUGCGUAGUAUCUUCAACUUCAUUUUUAUUGUUACCUGUUGUUUCUUUGCUUGUGUCUAUCUUGCCACUUCGUUGUCGUUCUCUUUUCUCUUUCUAGCAUGUCUUGGUAUCUUGCUUUGUUUCUUGCUAUAGUGUUUCAUAUUAUUUUUUUCUUGCAACCCUACUUAGAUUUCUUUUUUUCUUUUGAGCAGAGGAUCUAUGAGUAACAGCCUCUCUACUGCCACAAAGGUAGGGGUAGGGACUACGUAAAUCCUACUCUCCCUAGGCCCUACUUGUGAGAUUAAGCGAAAUGAUCAAGUUUGAAUUAUUUCUCUAUCUACAGAUCUUGGUACUUUUUCGUUCAAGUAAAAAGAUUGGGCAAUGUAUUAAGAGGAGAAGGACCUAAUCUAGGUGAAAUGUAUUAAAGACAAAUCUCAACAAGUGUUGAAAGGAGAUAAUGAGAUCAAAAAGAGAUAAAGAGGUUAUUUUGAUUAAUUGUUUAAUCCGGACCACAAAAACAACAUUUUGGAUCUCCAUACAUCUCACUGACGGAAACAUUAACUACACUCACAGAAUUAGGCCGACAGAGUUAAAGGAUUCUAUGAAAAAUAUGAAGAUUAAAAUGCAAUGUCCCAAAUGGAAUCCACAUACAGAUCUGGAAGUGUCCCGUGAGAGAGUGGAGUCGGACGGCUUGCUAAGUCAUUUAAUGUCGCUAAGAAAUGGUAGGGUGCGAACAAGUGGAGAAAGAGUACCCUGAUUCUAUUUUAUAAGAACAAAGAAGACAUUCAAAGUUGCAAGAAUUAUCACGGCAUUAAAACUUUGAGCCACACGAUGAAACUUUAUGUGGCGAUAAAACAUAUAUGUAGGGACACUAAAAGAGUGAAAAGAAUCUGUUUGGAUCUAACCUAGGUAUAUCUACAACAAAGUCUAUAUUCUUGCUAAGAAGAUAAUGGAAAUUUAUCGUGAGAAGAAGAACGAUCUACACAUUAUGUUCAUUAAAUUGGAGAAAGUAUAUAAUAUAGUAUCAAGAAAGGUUCUUUUGUGGGUGUUGGAGAAUAAAGUAAUUCAUAUUAGAUAUAUAUAAAAGACGAGUCAAAAAAAUAACGAAUUACAAUGUGGAUUUAUAUUAUCAUUUCUAUUUGACAAUCUAAACUGUUGCAUCUGCAUUCAAGUGCUUCAAGAACAUGAUUACCAAAAAACAAGAAAGAUCAACUUCCAACUUCCAAAAGACAUCUGAAAUUGCAUCUCAAGUACACUUAACUGUGAAAUGCACCAAUAUUAACUCUCACUAUCUGCUGCUCCUAAUAAUUCGUACAAUUGCCUACACCAACUUGAUCAAACAAUUGGCAAACCAACCAGUUUACACGUUGAGCUACACAAAACACCCUCAUGCUUAGAGUUUUAUAAACCAAAUUCACAAUCAAUAAGAAUAUAUCCUUCCUAACUAAGAAUUGCCUAAAAAUCGCCACACCAAAACAAACGACUCAACCAAUCAACUAUACCCUCAGGCAGCUAGGCACAUCCAAAUUACUACAGUGCUCAAAUGUUUUAUCCCAUUGGAUUACUUUUACACUGCUUUUUUGCAAUUUUCAGGACCCUAGCAAGAACAUCAAUUUCCUAAUUCAAAAUUUCCCUCCAUCACCAAACUUAAGAUCAUCUAGGUUCUAACUUCAAGUGCUGCACACAAGCUAACAGCUUGAUCACCAAUUCAUUUUCCACAAACUGGCAUACAGUAAAUUUCAGCACAAAUACAGCUGUAAUCCAGACACUAAUAUAUAUAGACUAAGGGGUCAUUUGGUAACUGGUUUGGAGGUGAGUUAUGCAGGUAUUAAAUCCUUCAUAAGCAAUACUACUUUUGGUAACUGGUUAAUAGGUAAGUUAUUCAUAUAUAAAAUUGAUACAGUGGUUGGUUUGCAAUUUAGAAAUCCGCAUAACUAAUACAUGUAUGAGUUAUGAGGGAAUCUAUAUAUUAUUUUAUGCACGAUAGAAUGAAAUAAGUAAUACAUAAAUAGCUAAACCCUACAUAACUAAUAUCUACAUAAAAUAAUGCAUAGAUUCUCUCAUAACUAAUCCUUGCAUUGCUAAUACAUACAUAACUCUAACCAACAACCAAACGACCCCCGUUUGGUAGCUAGUAAAGAAGCAACUUAUUCAUGUACUAUUUUUUGCAUAAGUUACACAAUGUUUAGUAGCUAAUUAGGAAAUAAAUUAUACAUGUAUAAAAUUAAUAUGACGUUUGAUUUGUAAUUUAAAAAUCUUCAUAACUAAUAGAUGUAUAAGUUAUGAGGGAAUUGGUGUAUUAAUCUUAUGCAAGGUAGAAGAUGGAACAAUUAAUACCAGCAUAACUAAUAUGGCUUAACUAAUACAUGCAUAUUUCUAACUAGCUACCGAACAACCCCUAAUAUUACUCCCUCCAUUCCAAUUUAUAUGGCAUUUUUCACUUCCUAAAAUUCAAUUUGACUAAUAUUUGAAGCUAAAUUAGAUUUCUUUUUUUUUAUGACAAGGGAAACCCGCAGCAGCUACCUUUGGGUGCGCAUAGGGUAAAAUUCCGCUCCUAUGCAAUAGCUCGCAAACCACGUAGGAAAGGUAAUAUGCACUAGGAAAGCCUGGUGCAACGAGCUCGACCCAGAAGGUGUUACCCCUUGCUUUUGCUGGCAAGGGGUUUCGAACUUGAGACCUCCAACAUGGAAGUCCCAAGCCCAGUUGCAAUUUUUCUAAUGUCAAAUAAGAUAAAUUAUAUAGUUCGAAUCUCAUAAAAACACAAAGUGUCACAUAAAUUAGUACGACGCAGGGGAGUAACAUUUUAGCACGCAUUGCAUUGGGGAAAUAUUACUCCCUCUGAAGCUAAUACUGUAUCAGUUGGGACGGAGUAACAUUUAGCACCAGAAUUGUAUAAAAUUGAACAAAAAAAGAGCUACAAUAUACAGAAAUGCGAGCAUAUAAUGUAACUAUUUACGAAGAAAUCGAAGAAGUAAAAGCAAUUAACAGAAGUGUGCUCGGAGACUUUACCGGAAUUCAGCAGAUCUUAAGGAAGUGAAAAUCUGCAGGUAAUAGAGUAGCAAUGGACAAAUAGCAUUUGAAUCGCUAUAUAUCGUGAAGAGUGAAGAGAGAGAAAUAGAGUGAUGCAAACUGAAACGGCGGCUUGGAUUACUUAGGAAAAUAAUAUCAUUGAAUUUAUAUUGAAUACAGGAAUAUGUGUCUUAAUUUAAUUCGUUAUAUUUAAUUUUUGUUGGGAAUUGCUUCCUUAUCAUAUUAUAAAGUAGUGACUUGAUUAAAUAUAAAAAGAUUGGAUAGCAAGAAUAAGAGUGUGUUGCUUUUGUAUUGCCUAGUAUCAAUGUCUAACAAUGGUGUUAAAACUAUUAUUAAUAUAGGUUACACAAAUAAAUGUCUAACAACCAAUAGAAAAACUUCAUUUGAGCUCUAAACUAUUAUGACUAAUGAUAAUCGUUCACAUGAAAUUAUCGUUAGUAGUGUCAGCUAAUAUUCCUUUGUUAUGAUAGGGAAUUGCAAAUGUGUGUGGCCUACAACAAUAAGAACAUCAAUGACAAAUAAUCAUCCGACUAAAUAUCUUUUUUGAAUAAUAUUUUCAUUUGUACCAACACAUGUACACAUAAUGUAUUUGUAGGGGAAAAAGCUAUGAUGAAGAAGUUCUUGCAUGUCAAGCCCAGGGUCUAUCCCAGCCUUUGUAUCCACGUAGAUAGAAGUAAAAUCUGCAUAUAUUCUAUUCUUUUCAGAUUUUACUUGUGAAAUUUCAUUAAAUAUGUUAUUGUUAUUAUUAUAUCCCAAGAAAACAAAUUUAUACACAUUAAUUAAAAGAAAAUGACCAAUUCUUUUAGUAAUACAGUAAAACCUCACUAGAUUAAUAUAGCUGAGACUAUAAAAUAUUACUUUAUUUUUGUAGGGGUAUUAUUUAAUCGAUAUAUUGAUAUUUAUUAAUUUAAAGAGUGUUUUGAGAUUCAACCUUCUAAUACUGGGAUAACAAGAGCUUACAACAUGUAUUAUUGCAAUAGAUUUUAUCAUAGAAUAAUAAAAGGUUAUAAAGUGGGAUAAACUAAUCUAGAAAAGAUUAAUGUUUUGGUUGCUAUCAAGUUUGCACUCCUGGCUUGGACAAUAAAUGUUCAGCGAGCAAGAGACAAUAGCAAAUUAUUUUCGGCACUGCAAAUUUUGUUUAGAGGAUGAAAUCUCAGAGAAUUUGAAUGAGCCCACUUGUGAAAACGUCAUUCAUGAACUUGAAGUCAUAAUUAAUGAUCUAGGUUACCCCAAUAAAAUGGACGUCAACAACCUAUUAGAUUACCCAAGUGAAAAAUGAUACAUGUUCAGAGAUUCAGAGCUUAGAAGAAAUUGUGAAUAUCAUAAAAAAAAAUGUUGAAGAUGAUACAAUACCUUUAGAAUCAGUUACAUGUAAGGAAACACUUAUCACAUCUAGAACUCUUCACAACUUUAUGGUGCAGUUCGAAAAGACAACACUGAAACUUUUGGAUGCAAUAAGAAAAUGUAGAAAUGAACUUCAAUUAGAUUUAGAGUUUAACAAGACACAAUAACAUCACAUUUCACUAACUUGUUUUAAAUAUAUUUGUUUUUAAAAAAAUUAUUCAUUUAUAAUAUUAAUGAGACCAUAUAUUUAUAUAGAGGUCUUCUGAAAAUAUAUCAUCUUAUUAUUUUAUCAAAUUAAGUAACUUUUUCCAUUAAUCUAAGUCAGGAUCAAAGGAAAAUAUUAUCUUAGAGAAAUUAUCAAUUAUCGAGUAUUAAUUUAGUGAGGUUUUACUCCUAUCUUUUCGAUCCCACAACUCAUUUUCUUCUAUUUUCUUGACCUGUCAAAUCUUUGGUGACGACUGACGAGGUAAGACUUUUAUUCCUUUUCAUUUUCAUGAAAAUGACAUUCAAAAAAACUUUCAAAAUAUUAAUAAUGUAUUACUUUCGAAAAUUAUCAUAUUUUGCAAAGUUAUUCAUUUUUUCUAAUUUUUCAUUCGGCGUGCAUACCUUUUUUGAGGUCCUAAUAAUUUAGAUCUGUGCCUAAGAGUAUUAUAAGAAAACUUAAUUUUUGAACAUUUUUGUAGCAAGUCUAUUAGAAAUAAAAUCAAUAGCAAAAGUUAAAAGUGUUUUUCUAAUUUAAAUUAUUUAUUUUAAAAAUUAAAAUAUUUUAUCAGGCCUCAAGAAAAAAAAAGUGAUUUCUUAUUAAUUACAACAGAAAUUGAAUUUAUCAAAUCGUUUGGUUGUGAUUUGUGAAUAUUUGCUAGAAUCAAAAUAAAUCUAUAGAAAAUCAUUAAAUUAUUUAUGUUAGAAGGUGGGUUGUAAUAUAUUACCCCAAGAUUAUAAUUCCUAAUAUUUUUUAAAAUUAGAAUUAGUGACCUAUUUCCGAAAAGAACCCCAUUUGUAACAUAUAAGGAUCGUUGACAUUGUUGUAACAUGUGGUAUUCUAAUUGAUUAUUUUUUUCUACGUUUUUAAAGUUGAGUUCAUCACACUGAUUUACAUAGACGAGUUAUAUCUUUUAUUUGAUUCGCAAGCUAUUGCAUAUGAGCGAAAUUAUUUAGCGUAUAUUCAAGAUAAUAAAAUUUUCUACCGUAUAACAAAAUCUCAAAAAAUUGGAUAAAAUCCAUUUUUAAGGCUAAUCAUAUGCCUUAAUCACCGACAAUAUUCCUACUUUUUUAUACUCUUAAUUUUAAACAUCACAAAACCAUGUAGGUAGAUGAUGAAGUAUUUAUUUGGAUCUGACACACUCAUUAAAAAUAUAUUUAUUGAUAUAAUUAUUUUAUGAUAUUAUCCUUAUUAAUUGAUAUUUUAGUUAGAUAUUAAAUAAUAAUCUGAGGAAUGAGUAAUUAAUAUAAGGAUAAAAUAUAAGAAAAAAUAAUUAUAUUUUCUUGAUAUAUUAAAAGUGAAAAAUAAAAAUGAAAAAUUAUUUUUAAAAUAACAAAUAAAUAAAAAGCAUAAUAUAUAACAUUAGAUUUUAAAAAAAAUCAAAUUAUUAUAAUAAAAUGUCGUUAUAACGAGUAAUUAUUAAAAAGAGGCUUGUGGAUAAAAAGAUGACUUUUUAUUUGGCAAAAAGUGUUGUUAUUACACAAAACCAUGUAGAAUGAUGAAGUGUCCAAAAACUCAAGAAAUUAUAACACAUUUAUGAUUAAUAUUAGUAAUACAUCAAUGAUUAAAUGGACAAGUUGGGGAGUCACAAAAAUAUAAAAUGACUAGCUAGGAUGACUUUUGUGAGGAUGAGGGCCCUUCUCCUCCCAUCCCCACACUCUUUAAAUAAAGAAAAAGAUUUUAUAAUCUUUUGGUAAUUUUUUUUUAAAAAUAAUUCAACAUCCUUUAAAUUAUUGUUACUAAUAUUUAAAUGCUAUCUUUUUUCUAAUAGUUCAAUUUAACAUUCUUUCGUUAAAAAAUUACAUUAUAUAAUUAAGUCCAUAAAAUUGAUAAGGGGUAAACUUAGAUUGUUUUUUUCCCCCCUCAAAUGAAGACACUUAAUUAAAGUUUUCCGUUUCAUAUUGGAAUUUUGCUAAUGACAAAAAUAAAUACGAGAUAAUUUUAUAAUUAAAAGAGUAGAAAUGGACAAAAAAUAUAUAACGUGAGGACAAAAUUGAAUAACUUUGAAAUAUUUUAUCGUUAAUAUUUUUUUUCUUGUGAACUUUUUACUCAUAAUUUAAAAAAUGCUUACCUUACUCCUACCUCUUACGUCGUAAAAAUAAAAAUAUUAUUUCUCAAAUAUAUUCAACUUAAAUAAUACAAAUAUAUUAUUAUUAUCAUAGUAAAUUUAGAUAUUUUUGGUCAAAUAAAUGUUAUCACAUGAUUUAUGCCUAUUAAUCACGAGGCAAAUUGAAAUGCAUAAUAACUGAAGUAAACGCUAGUCAAAAGAAACGUAUUGAUUCUUCUUACAUAACUAACUACAAGACUUAAUUAUUUUAUUAAAAAAAGCAAAUUGGAUUUUUUCCAUUGAAGCAAAGCUCAAAACUUGUUCAAUUGGAGAAUCCAAAAAAACUUUAUUCUUUAACUAAUCUCUGUUUCUCUUUCUUAUCUCAUUUCUCACUUUUUUUUUCUUUUUUUCUGAAAUUGUUUUUUUUAUAUAGUUAUUUUAAACACUUAAAUUCAAUCAUUCAGCCAAGGAAAAGAAUUAUUUCAAGUCAAGAUCAUCUAUUUUCUAAAGGUACACUGUGUUUUUUACUCAGUUUUAAUUUUUAUUUAUGUUAUUGCAUGUGUUGUUUUUCUCUGUUUUUUUUUUUUUUAGAAUUUUUAGAAUUCUGCUGGAUUUAUAUGCUUAUUACUGCUCCAUUGGAUAUUUUUUUUUUCUGGGCUUAUGUAGCUGAAUUUCAAGAAUUCUUCAAGUUUCAAUCUUUCCAACAAAGUUUGUAAGAUUAUUUUUUUUCCUUUCCAGAAAGUUUUUUUUUGGGAAAAAGAGGUUAGUACUAUCCUCUUAAAGAAAAAUUUUACAAAAAAAAAAAAAUGAAUUUGAAAAUAAAAAGGUAAUUUUUUAGUUGAAUUUCAAGAAUUCUUCAAGUUUCAAUCUUUUUAAUAAUCAAGCUAUUAAAGGAAAAGUUACAACAAAGUUUGUAGGAACAUUUGUUGGGUUUUUCUAUAAAGUGUUGAUUUGAACUUUUUUUUUUUUUUGGGAAAAAAAAAAUUACUACCUCUUUUUGGAAGAUUUUAAAAACCUGAGUGUGAAAUCUUGAAAAAGAUAGUAACUUUUUUCUUUCCUUCAAAAAACAGUUGAAACAAACACUUUUUUUUAAAAAGCAAAACUAAUUUUUGCAAAAGCUCAAAAAUUUCUUUUGUGAGUUAUGUUGUGCUAGGAAAUAGAGGUUAUGGAGUUUGGAGAAGUUGGCUAGUUAUUUGAAGGAAAGUUUAGAUUCUAAAUGGCUAUCCAAAUUAAGUUUCUUGAUUUUGCCUAUGAAAAUUGAAAAUUAUGAAGUCUCUUUAUUUAUUCAGGUUAAAGAUUUGUAAUGUCAAUGUAGUUAUAUGAUAAUGUGAAAGAAAAGCCAAAAGUAUCUAGUUUUGAAAUGAAUUGGACAUGAAUAGAGUGGAAUUUUGUAUAAUGGAGUCAUAUAGUUGAUUCUAAGUAAUUCGGAACUCGGGCUACCAAGUCAUGUAGAACUCAGUAGUUUUGGCUAGACCUUGUAUUUGUGUAUAAAAAUAUACUUAAUAUGUAUAAAUAAUUUAUACAAAAUCUAGUAAGUUGCCUUUUCUAGAAUCUAGACUCAAAAUCCUAGCUCCGCUUCAGGGAGCACCUUGGUUGGAAGUUCGAGUCAUAACUAUCAGGUAGGAAGUUUGGCGGGGUGGAGUUUACCAUAAAAGAUUUAUCUACUUGGAUCACGCCAUCAAGUCAAUCUUGAUAGUCCGAAUAUGAGAAGUGUCUUAAUCGCAUUGAUGAAUGAAUGAUGUCCUCAAGAUUUUAUAGUUAGGCUUGUAAAAUGUAUGUUUCUCUUCACCUGCUUUCCUCUUCAAUCUUACUGUUAUUGGCCAAUGGAAUUGUUCUGAAGACCGACGUAUGUUGCUUGGACUCUUCUGCCAGACCUGUAUCAAAUUCUCCAAAACUGAACUACUUUUAGAGGAACCGAGAUACACUUUCCGGUAUAUUUGAAGAGUGUCUUAAGCAACAUAGUUGAAGGCACUCUUAUCGAUCUAAAGUGUAUUUCACUUUGAACUAUUUACCCAAGGUUUCCCCAUAAAGUUCUCCAGAAAAAUGUUUCUGAUUUUUGUUGAUAGUAAUUGUGAAUAAGCAAGUAGGGGCCGAGAGGUUGCGAGAUUUCAGGAAUAGGUUGACUUUCUUUCAUUUUGUUAUGAAAAUGAAAGUGGUUUCGUUUUUUUAAAUCUGUAUCUAUUUACAUAGAGUUGAUCUAAGCUUUGAAGACGACACAACAUCAUUUCUAUAAGGACUUAAGUGAUCUUGGUUUGUUGUUAUAGUUGAAAAUGAAGGCACUGGUGUAACAUCAUAGAUUAGUGGCCCCUGUUACGUUAACGUUUUGUUGUUGUCAUACAUUGAAGAAAUAUUCACAAUUUGAUUGUUGAGUGUGCAGAAAUAAGGCGGUGCCAAAUCAUCACAUGGAGGGCAAGCAAUUGAAGUUUAAUCAACCUCUUUUGUCAGUAAGACGAAUCUCUCCGGCAAUGAUUUCCCAGAGAGAUGAGAAAAUGAAAUUUGACAAUUCCUUUCCCACUAUGACACAUCCUCCUCAUUACAAAUCAGAACUGAACUCAGGCUUAGUGGUAAUGCCAGGAACUGUUCCUUUCCUCUGGGAACAGACCCCCGGAAAGCCAAAGGAUGAGAGCAGACCACAAACUCAUUUCACGGAAAAACCUCCUACCGCACCAAAGCUUCCACCUGGGUGGAAGUUAAGAGAUAACCAGGAUUUCGAUCAAACAGGAAAAUUUCAAAAUGCCAUGCUGAGUUUCACUUCUUCUUCAGAUGAAAAUGUAAAGAAGAUGGAGAGUUUUGACAGCUCAAAAGAGAUGAUGCACGAUAAGGAAAAGAUUGAAUCGGAGGAUGACAAUGAAGCCUAUUUGGAUGCCUUGGAUACACUUUCAAGAACUGGAUCAUCCUUCCUAAAUUGUAGUGUAAGUGGCUUAAGUGAAUUUGAUGAGCCGAAUGCAAAACAGUCUCGAACUUCUUCAACGAAUCCACAGACUAAGGAUUUCAUGAUGGGUCGAUUUCUGCCAGCAGCUAAGGCAAUGACUUCAGACAAGACUUCAGAAACACCUUACUAUGUCCGCAAGAAGCAACCACCUGUCGAGGAUCAACGAAGACAGACGAAGAAUAUAAUAAAUGGGGAUAGACAGCCUCAGUUGCGCUACGGACCUAGUUUUACACUUUAUCAUUCCCAAGCUCAUGAUUAUAAAGAAGAAGAGGAAGAAAGUGAUGAUAACUGUUAUGAAAGAGGAAAUUUAUCUACUAAUAUUUGUGGAUUGUUGCCUCAUUUUUGCUUGAAAAGUUCUUUUCGUCUUCUGAAUCCUGUACCUGCAAUGAGUGCUAGACCUCGAAUACCCGUCUCUCCUGUCAGUAGAACACAAACUGGAUCCUUUUCUACUACUUCUUUUAGCGGAACAGAAAAUGAGGUAUGAACUUCCAUUCUUUUCUUCCUGGCACUCAUUUCUUUGCUUGAUCCACUCGCGUUGUGUUAACUUUCUUGCCUAGAUUUACUUUGACUAAACUAUAAUUAUAAUUUUUGUUAUCUUUUACAGCGGUCAACAUCUGAUGUAAGUGAGCAAAAGUCUGUCGUUGGAUCCAUAACAACUCAACUACACGAGGAUAAGAACGAUAUUAAGGGCAGGACCUAUUCAAUUUAUGCCAAUGACCCUUACAAUAAUAUGACAAUGCUUGGCACGAACGCAGAAGAAAAUAAUCCCGAGCUCAAGUGCUUGUCUGAUCAGAACAAUAGCAGGGAAGUAGAUGUUUUAACUCCUUGUGUAGAGAAAACUCUGUACAUAGAUAUUGUGCAUAAAACAGAUUCGUCAGUUAAGAUAUCAUGUUCUCUAGAUAAAAAACCAUCUAAGUUACAACACGAGGACGUUGAGAUACUUGAACAGAUGAUAAAACAAAAACCAUUUGUAGAUUCUUCACUUUAUUCGUCUGAGACUUCAUUAAAGCCAUAUCUUCAAAGGAAAGCUGACUUCAAUCCACCACGUUCAGCGGAAAAACUGAACAAUGGAAGGGAGAUGAAAACACAAACAUCUACCAGUCAAGCUCAAGAUUGUUACCAAGAUGCAAUGACCUUAGCAAAGUCUGACAGUGAUGGUUUAGAAAAAAACAGGAAGCCAAUUCCGAGAAGAGAAAAGUUAGAGAACUCAUGCAAAGUGCACCCAGAGUUUCUUGCUCCACCACCUUUACCGAAAUCUCCAUCAGAUUCCUGGCUUUGCCGCACUUUGCCUUCUUUAUCCACAAAGAAUGCAUCUUCACGGGCUUAUAUCGGAACAGGACUAAAUCCUAAUAACCAGUCUUCUAAGCCACUGCCUAGUGAUUCCAAGUGGGAAACAAUUGUUAAAAUGACAAAGAAGCAACAGCAUCUGUGAAACUCUUGAGGUAAAUUCUUUAUUUCUUCCAAUGUACAAGUUUAUGCAUUUGUCUUCCCCCUCCCCCUCCCGGAGUUCUGAAAGAGUCCCACAUCGCAGCCCUUUAAGGGAUGAGUGGUCUCUUUAAUUUGACUUGGGAAAUCCUCACCUCUUGAGCUAGCUUUUUGGAGUUAGGUCCAAUAUCCAUUUUCUUACGGGAGUGAAGGGAAUGAGUUAUGACCCCUCCCCCAAUUCCAGUUUAUGCAGCAACAUUUUUGUCAAACUUCCGUUUAAUCCUUGAUGAGAAGCUUUUAUAGCCACACAAAUAUCAUGACAUGUUUAUGAUCACAAGCCUCAAAAGUCUUCAUUUAUUUCUUGAACUCCGUGGCUAUUGUUUACGUGCCUAUUGUUUAAGUCUUUCAUUUAUUUCUUGAACUCCAUGCCUAUUGUUUAAGUGUUCCUUAUUUUUUCCAGUUUCUUAGUUUCUCUGCUUAGAAUUUCACCAUUCUGUCAGGAACUUGGGGCUUUGACAUAUAUAGAAGAAGCUCAGUAGAAGAUGUAAAGGCUUUUCUGAACUCCUCUGGUUUAUUUCUCAUGCUUUCUUGUGCAUAUCGAAAAGUAAGAUUGGCGCGAAGAUGGCCGAUAAUAUAUUGUUUGCUGUAUAGACUCUAUACUCCCUUCAGUAAUGGCUUUAUAACUGCAAACUCAUAGCAUGUAAUUACAUGAUAGAAUAAGAGUUUACUGUACAGAUGAUCCUGAAAUUCAAUGUAAACUUUAAUCCCUUGCAUGUUGGGAUUUCUUGUUUCUGAGAGAGGUAAAUGUAUUGAUAUUUGGACGAAAACUCGAAACUUAAGUGGAGAAAGGUAGAGGGACGUAACCUUACUCCUACUUUGUGAAGGAUUGCCAAAUGGCACAAAUUGCCAGCAUCUGUCUGAUAAUAAAUCAUAAUGUGGAGCUAGAUUUUGAGUAUAAAUUGAACAUGUUCAUAUUUUUCUUUCUGUAUGUACAGUCAUGCUAUUAAUAGUCAUCAUUUGACUAAUUAUCAAUCUUCUAUAAGCAAUUUAGUUAUCUUUAAUGCAAAAGUUUAAUGAACUAACAGUGAUUAUUUGUGAAAUGGAAUACAAAUUCUGCGUAGAAUUGUUGGAAUUCUUAUUGAAAAUACUUGAUCGCGAACAUUGUGGGGAAUUCUUUAAAAUUCCAAAGAAAAAAAUCAAGCACUGAUGUUGCGUCAAAUUAACUGAACAUCAAAACAUCACAUGACACAACCCCUCCUUGUUCUGCGAGUACAAAGCACUUUGAUAUACGUAUCUAUCUAUAUAUAAUAAGCUACAAUGCAAAGAUUUUUAUAGUAUUUAGUAACUAUCUUGUUAGCUUUCAACCAAAANNNNNNNNNNNNNNNNNNNNNNNNNNNNNNNNNNNNNNNNNNNNNNNNNNNNNNNNNNNNNNNNNNNNNNNNNNNNNNNNNNNNNNNNNNNNNNNNNNNNNNNNNNNNNNNNNNNNNNNNNNNNNNNNNNNNNNNNNNNNNNNNNNNNNNNNNNNNNNNNNNNNNNNNNNNNNNNNNNNNNNNNNNNNNNNNNNNNNNNNNNNNNNNNNNNNNNNNNNNNNNNNNNNNNNNNNNNNNNNNNNNNNNNNNNNNNNNNNNNNNNNNNNNNNNNNNNNNNNNNNNNNNNNNNNNNNNNNNNNNNNNNNNNNNNNNNNNNNNNNNNNNNNNNNNNNNNNNNNNNNNNNNNNNNNNNNNNNNNNNNNNNNNNNNNNNNNNNNNNNNNNNNNNNNNNNNNNNNNNNNNNNNNNNNNNNNNNNNNNNNNNNNNNNNNNNNNNNNNNNNNNNNNNNNNNNNNNNNNNNNNNNNNNNNNNNNNNNNNNNNNNNNNNNNNNNNNNNNNNNNNNNNNNNNNNNNNNNNNNNNNNNNNNNNNNNNNNNNNNNNNNNNNNNNNNNNNNNNNNNNNNNNNNNNNNNNNNNNNNNNNNNNNNNNNNNNNNNNNNNNNNNNNNNNNNNNNNNNNNNNNNNNNNNNNNNNNNNNNNNNNNNNNNNNNNNNNNNNNNNNNNNNNNNNNNNNNNNNNNNNNNNNNNNNNNNNNNNNNNNNNNNNNNNNNNNNNNNNNNNNNNNNNNNNNNNNNNNNNNNNNNNNNNNNNNNNNNNNNNNNNNNNNNNNNNNNNNNNNNNNNNNNNNNNNNNNNNNNNNNNNNNNNNNNNNNNNNNNNNNNNNNNNNNNNNNNNNNNNNNNNNNNNNNNNNNNNNNNNNNNNNNNNNNNNNNNNNNNNNNNNNNNNNNNNNNNNNNNNNNNNNNNNNNNNNNNNNNNNNNNNNNNNNNNNNNNNNNNNNNNNNNNNNNNNNNNNNNNNNNNNNNNNNNNNNNNNNNNNNNNNNNNNNNNNNNNNNNNNNNNNNNNNNNNNNNNNNNNNNNNNNNNNNNNNNNNNNNNNNNNNNNNNNNNNNNNNNNNNNNNNNNNNNNNNNNNNNNNNNNNNNNNNNNNNNNNNNNNNNNNNNNNNNNNNNNNNNNNNNNNNNNNNNNNNNNNNNNNNNNNNNNNNNNNNNNNNNNNNNNNNNNNNNNNNNNNNNNNNNNNNNNNNNNNNNNNNNNNNNNNNNNNNNNNNNNNNNNNNNNNNNNNNNNNNNNNNNNNNNNNNNNNNNNNNNNNNNNNNNNNNNNNNNNNNNNNNNNNNNNNNNNNNNNNNNNNNNNNNNNNNNNNNNNNNNNNNNNNNNNNNNNNNNNNNNNNNNNNNNNNNNNNNNNNNNNNNNNNNNNNNNNNNNNNNNNNNNNNNNNNNNNNNNNNNNNNNNNNNNNNNNNNNNNNNNNNNNNNNNNNNNNNNNNNNNNNNNNNNNNNNNNNNNNNNNNNNNNNNNNNNNNNNNNNNNNNNNNNNNNNNNNNNNNNNNNNNNNNNNNNNNNNNNNNNNNNNNNNNNNNNNNNNNNNNNNNNNNNNNNNNNNNNNNNNNNNNNNNNNNNNNNNNNNNNNNNNNNNNNNNNNNNNNNNNNNNNNNNNNNNNNNNNNNNNNNNNNNNNNNNNNNNNNNNNNNNNNNNNNNNNNNNNNNNNNNNNNNNNNNNNNNNNNNNNNNNNNNNNNNNNNNNNNNNNNNNNNNNNNNNNNNNNNNNNNNNNNNNNNNNNNNNNNNNNNNNNNNNNNNNNNNNNNNNNNNNNNNNNNNNNNNNNNNNNNNNNNNNNNNNNNNNNNNNNNNNNNNNNNNNNNNNNNNNNNNNNNNNNNNNNNNNNNNNNNNNNNNNNNNNNNNNNNNNNNNNNNNNNNNNNNNNNNNNNNNNNNNNNNNNNNNNNNNNNNNNNNNNNNNNNNNNNNNNNNNNNNNNNNNNNNNNNNNNNNNNNNNNNNNNNNNNNNNNNNNNNNNNNNNNNNNNNNNNNNNNNNNNNNNNNNNNNNNNNNNNNNNNNNNNNNNNNNNNNNNNNNNNNNNNNNNNNNNNNNNNNNNNNNNNNNNNNNNNNNNNNNNNNNNNNNNNNNNNNNNNNNNNNNNNNNNNNNNNNNNNNNNNNNNNNNNNNNNNNNNNNNNNNNNNNNNNNNNNNNNNNNNNNNNNNNUAUAUAUAUAUAUAUAUACAUACAUAAUAAUGUUGAUACAAUGAAGUAUACAUUACAGAUGAUUUUUUUCAAUCCCAACUAGUUCAAAUACCCUCUAAUCAGUUCCAAAGUUUAGAUGUGAUCUCCUCUCAAUAUUUCAACUUUCGAGUCUUUUGAUUUAAUUUCAUCCGAAACGCUUCAAGUUUGACACGUUAAUUUUUAAAGUCGAACUUUUGUCUAAUUUUCCGUUACUAUAUCCAACUUCGAACUUGUAUAUUUAAAGUUUGAAACUUUAGACCAAUUUUGAUGCGACUAAACUUUAAAAACUUUAUUAAAUUUGGCUAUUAAUUAAAUAGAGCAUCUAUUUUCCACAUCACAAGAGAGAGCCCACUAGAAGCCCAGCGGGUCCGUGAUUAUGCUGCGUUCACAAUCCAGUUGAUCCGGGCCAUCGAACUGUGAUUGAAGUGAAAUUCGCCGGAAAUAUAUCUUGCUCCGGCACCGGCUACAUCGCGUGAGAGGAAUUAUGGCGACGGUUGAUGUGAUCAAGUGUUGUAUGGAUUCCAUUAGACAAGUGAGUAUUCUCUCAAUCCCGGAGUAUUUUCCCGUUAAUCAUACAUUGUUCAAUUUAUUAAAAUUGUCAAGUUUGAAUUGUUUACUCAGUUCUACUACUGAUCAAAUUGAGCAGUCGCAAAUUUAUCUGCUUUGAAGGUUGAACUGCAUCGCUAGAAUUUAGGGAGGAAAUGAUUUUUAGGAAUUGAUAUCUAAGUAGCUAAGGAGUUCAGGCUAGUGUCUAACCAUGCUAAAGAGAUCACGAAUUUCUUUGUUUUAUGAAUAUUUUGGUUAUAUCAACUGUGCUUCAAUCCCAAACUAAAUUGUAUAGGCUACAUGAUUCCUCUAUAUCCAUUCUGCUCUGUUAUAGGCCCAAAGAUUCUGAGAUUCAUCAUAAUAUGUACAUCAGUACUCGGACCGAUAGUCGUUAUGCUUUUCUCAUAGGCAGAUAUAAUGCUCCAAAAUCUUUUUUUGAAACAUAUAUUUUGUUUUAUUGAUUGACAUUCAGUCACUCGACUAUCCUAUUGGGUACCCUGAUCCUCCCACUAACACCAACAAGGUAAUUUACAUGCAGAAAAAUCACCUAAAUUCUGGUUUUGUUGGGAUUCUAACCAUUUUCUUUUGUGAUCCUCAUUCCAGUCUUUUCAACUGCGAAGCCACACACAUGGAUGUUAAUAGUGCCUGAAAGUUUUAUAAUACUUUGGAGAAUAGAUUGAGGGAGAACUUUGAAUUCAUGACAUGUAGAUUUUACAUGUUCUACUUUAUGUUAUGCUUGUGAGGUUUUCUAUUUGGUCGGUUGACUACAUGAUAAAUAAAAUGCAAGGGAGGAAGAAGGAUAGUUUCGUGUUAAUUUGUGAUGGUAGAUUAUAUUGGUAGAAAUAGCUAAACUCAACAAUCACUUCUCCAAUUUUAUUAUUAUUGUCUUCUUAUGUUUAAGAAGGAACAACGUUGAUACCCUAUUUUUUCCCUUUCUAAUUACCGAGGAAACUCCAGGUCGCAUAUACUUAAAGCGAAGGAAAAAGGUCAUAUUCAUUUAAUGCCGUUUCUUUUCCGAUAGAAUUUAGAAAAGAAACAUAUCCUUAUAAUGAGUGUUACAUAGAUUCAAAUGAUAAAAUUAAUGGUUGAUCAUACAAGAUUAAAAAAGAUUAAAGUUGACAAUAUUUGUCGGAAGGUGCAAGUAAUACACAUAGAUCACUUGAGGUGGUUUAGUCAUGUUCUACAUUGGCCUCUGGAGCUAAAAUUACAUGGAAGGAAGUUGUCUCGAAGGAUUCACAAUCUCUUGGGGUCCAUGCAGACCUAGCGAAAAAUAGGACUAACAUGGAAGAACAAGAUCUAUAUAGGCGAUACCAAUUAGUUGGUAUAAUUGUUGUUACACUUUAGGCAUGCUAGUCUAUUUACUUUAGGUCCAAUGUUUUUGAGGAGUCUUAGUCUGGUCAUCUAUGGAAGAAAAUAUUAUUAAUAGUGCUUCUUAAUUUAUUUUUAAUCUAAUUUUUAUGUAACAUCAUACUUCGAUAAACUUAAAUGGAGCAACAUGGGCAACGAAGAUUCAUAUAGCCGAUCCCUACUUGUUUUGGGUUGAAGCCUCGUAAUUGUAGCUCUUGUUGUUGUUAUUAUGAUAGAUUCUAGAAUGUGAUGAAAAUUUAAUCUAGUCUCUUUACCUUCUCUUCUAAUAAAAUAUCCAGAAAAUUAGAGAAUUAGGUCAACUCUACUUUUAUAGAAGGCAAAAUAGUUUAUAUGUUAUUUCUCUUCUGUUUUUCCUCACCUAUGUACUUUUUUUCUAAAAACUAUUUUAUUGCAUGGGGGGAAGGGGGAGGGGAGGAAAGGGGAAGGGAAUGCUAUCACUACUGGGGUUUGAACUCUCCACCUCAACUGUGGAAGGCAGGGAGCUCACCAAGUGAGCGAGUCCUCACCUGUACUAAUCUAUAUAAUAAGCAAAAGGCACUUCUGUACUUGUGUAGUUACUGGAACUUUUCUUUGAAGGCAGCAUGGUGAAUGAUUUUAACUUGAUUUUUCUCCUGAAUUUUGGGGAGCAAUUAGUCAACUUAAAACUUUUUCUAUAUCUUUUUUUGCAGAUAUCAGAUGAAAUUAGAGAUGCCAUAAUUUAUCUGGAUGCAGGGUGUACCGAAAGCUUUGAAUAUGUUGGAGCAUUCUCUCUGUUUUUGGAGCUUGGUGCACAUGCCAUUUGCAGCUUGGAGAAAAUGUCUCCUCUUGAUAAGGUAACAAUAGCUAUACUUAUUUUAGUUGAGUUGGAAUUUGUUGCUUGAAUUAUCUUUUAGUUAAUAUCAUGAUAUAGUUUAAGUUGCAUAAUCACAGAUGCGCACCAAACUCCGUAAGUAGUAGGCUAGUAGCUUCACUUCACAUUGGAAAAGGAAACAUGAUAUGCUUCCACUUCAGGAGAAGUAGUUUGUGUUUGAAAACUGCAUGUUAUUGUUAUGUGUCCUAAAUGUAAUAUGAUUGUAAAUAUUUAGUUUGAAUUGUCAUGAAGAAUUCCUAACUCAGCGUUAACAAUUGCUUGUGAAAAAAAUAAAGGAAGUCCUCAUUAAGAGUUGAAAAAAAAGAAGCUGUAGGCUUUAUUCUCUUUUCUCUCUCUCCCCCCCUCCCAAAAAAAAAAAAAGGAGAGGGAAAACAUUGAUUGAUUUUGUAUUAACAAAAAAUAGCUCCUUGAGAAUAGUUAAGGAACGUAUCACUUACUGUGAAUCAUGCACAUGGCUAGCGUGUAAGCAUCUGCAGUAGAUUAUUGGACAGAAUGUUAAAGUGUUCAUAAAAUUCUUACUACGAAGAAAAGAAAACUGCUAUAUAUAUACACAACCACAAAAAAGGAGCCUCUUGUAUUGAUUCUUUUCCAGUUUUUGAUCUACCUUUGAUUGAACCAGUCGUCAAUGUCUUCCUUGUAGGUGGUUGAUUGGAAUUUGACUUCUGGGCCUGCAAAAAAAAUUGUUGUCAUCACGUCACGGCUUCUAAGUGAUGCACAUAGAUACAUUUUACGUUGCCUGAGUGCAUUUCAGACUCUCUGCAGCUGUGCUAUAUUUACAUGCAUUUCAGAGGUACUUUUUGUGCCCGUGGAUAAAAUGUUCUUCUGAGAUUUUCUACUCAUUAAAUUCGAUAGUGAUACCUGAUAUAUAUUGGUUGUAUUACCUGUUGUUUUGCUUACAUCAACCACAUUAUUCUUUAUUAAAAGAUAAUAUACAUAUAUCCAUCCAUUACGUCUGAAUCAAUUUUAAGCUUUAGGAAAAAUGGGAGACAUGCAGAUCUUUCUUGGUUGGUACUCAGUAUAUAUGUCUCUAUGAAAAUAGAAUAACUUACUGUAAGAUUUUUAACUUUUAUAUGUAUGCUCGUCCAGAAUUUCAUGCAGAUUCUCUUUCCUGUUCCUUUACAAGAAAAAAUGACAACAACAUACCCAAUGUAGUCUCACAAAGUGGGGUCUAGGGAGGGUAGAGUGUACGCAGACCUUAUCUCUACCUCAAGCAAGGUAGAUAGGUUGUUUCUGAUAGACCCCUGACUCAAGGAAAAAGACAAUAGUAGCAGGAGCAGCCCAAAGCAGUUCAGAAGAAGAAAUAAUGAAAGUACAAGAAACAAUAGAACAAGAGUACUAUUACUCAUAUGAUAUAAUAAGCUACACAACACUGGACUACCCACUAACAUUCUAUCUAAUCCAUGUCCUUCAUAUCCAAUCUAAGGUCAUGUCCUCGGUAAGCUGCAGCUGGGUCAUGUCCUCAGUAAGCAGCAGCUGGGUCAUGUCCUGUCUAAUUACCUUUCCCAUUACUUCUUCAGUCUACAACCACCUCUCCUGAAAUCAUCCAUGACCAACCUCUCACAUCGGGACAAUCCGUACACCUCCUCUUCACAUGCCCGAACCAUCUCAGUCUGGCCUCUCACAUUUUGUCCUCCAUUGAAGCCACUCUCGCCUUGUCCUGGAUAGCUUCAUUUCUAAUCUUAUCCUUCCUAGUAUGGUCAGACAUCCAUCUCAGCAUAUUUCAACCACUUUCAUCUUCUGAACGUGAUAAUUCUCAAUUGACCAACACUCCACUCCAUACAACAAUGCCGUUCUAAUUAAUUGAAGGUGAGACUACUAGAUGUUAUCUCAAGAUAUAUUUGUCAUUAUGUACUCUGAUUGUGAAUGAAAGGAUAGUCAUAUUGUUAUUGAAAUAUCCAUCUCAGCAUAUUUCAACCACUUUCAUCUUCUGAACGUGAUAAUUCUCAAUUGACCAACACUCCACUCCAUACAACAAUGCCGUUCUAAUUAAUUGAAGGUGAAACUACUAGAUGUUAUCUCAAGAUAUAUUUGUCAUUAUGUACUCUGAUUGUGAAUGAAAGGAUAGUCAUAUUGUUAUUGAAAUGUGUUGUGGCCAAGGUUAGUUUGUCCUCUUGGUCUUAGUAGGACAAAAGAAAGCUUCCAAGCACUGCUAAGUGAAGGUACUGAGCAUAUUACCUUCACUUAGGGGGGUUCGGCAGAGAAUACAGGAUGGAUAGAAAAGUUUCAAUGGAAAUCAUUUUCUUUCAUCCACGAGUGGCUUCCCCAUUCUAGAUGAAAUUUGCUGGUCACCACAACUAUAACUUAAUUUGUUUAGUUUCACUGAACUCAGUGUUAGACUAUUUGUAAGGCCAUGUUUUCAAGUUAGUUACAGAUAUAAUGGAAAAUUACUUCUAGCCAGGAUAACGUCUUUUUCUUCUGACCUUAUUUCAUGUUAUUGAUGGUCUGUCUCUUUGUAAUCACUGUGUCACUUUUCUAUUAGUUGCGAACAUAGGUUGUCAAUAAAUCCUGAUGAAGCUAAUGUAUCAAAUAAGUUCAAUAUUGGCACUGGAGUUGCUUGUCAUAUCAAAUACUCUCGGUUCACCAACAGAUCUCAAUCAAAGAAGGCUGCACUGUGAACUGAAAGUACUUUUAUCUGUUUUAAGAAAUUUAGUCUAGUGCUUUUGGACUAAUGUCCUACUGCAAUGAUUUCGAGGUUGUCUAUUUUACUGGUAUAUGUUAGGUCUUAAAUAUGUCAUUGGCAUUCCCACCCAAUGUACAUAGGAAAUUGUCACUUAAUAGCUUCUUGUAUGAUCAAUCUGCAAUGUCUUACCUCAAUUUAAGUGUAUGCCCAAAUUCACUUAUUUCAGACAGGUCACUCAGCAUAUCCUGAAUCACCUUUAGGACCGGAUGCAUAUCGUGAAUAUGAAUCUUUGCUUGUCCAAGAUUAUGAGGAGCUUGCCAGAAAGUUUCUGAUGAACUCUAGUCAUACCGGAGAAAGCAUAGUAAAGGAAAGUACGUCCGCUGAAGAUGAAGGAUGGUCACAAUUAACCACCAGGGAAGAGGAGCCUUUUAAUUUCAGUUCUGUUGCAAGUGCACAAAAUUCAUAUGAAGACAGUGUAAUUGACCGGACCGAAGAUGUACGGAAAAAGUUGAAAGUUUCUGUGCAUCACUUCCCUCUGGUCUUGUGUCCUUUUUCACCUAGAUUCUUUGUCUUGCCUUCAGAAGGAUCAGUUGCCGAAGCGUACCUAUCCGCUGAACAUGAUAACUCUAUAAGCUUUGGGUUACCUCCAAUAAGUACUGGGACAACUGCUGAUGGUGAGGAUGUCCCUCCUGGGGCAACUCUUACCGCUCAAUUUCUUUAUCAUCUGGCGGCAAAGGUAAUCAUGCUUUCACUUGUCUGAAAAUUUCUUUACCGAUUUUGAAUGUUCUCUUCUAUCGUGAUUCAUAUAUUGAAAAUAAAAAAGAUGUCCACCAAUUGGCAUCCUUGUUAUCCAGAAUGGUAGUGAAAUUUGACUACACCUUCUCACUAACAAUGUGUUUAGGAUGGCAUAUCUCUGUCUUGGUACAAGCCUCUGCAAUGCACCAUUUAUAUGUAUUGAAUACUACUUGGAUUAUACAAAAGUACUAUAUAAUUGGUAAUUAACACACACACACACAUAACAAACACUAGUUGUUGGAUUCCAUUAUAAAAACAAAAAACAGCAGUUAGAUUUAAGGAUAACGGUCAUUUAGCUGUAAAGUUGUAAAAAGAUGAAAUUCCUAAAGGAAUAAACCUGCUUUCCACUGAAUAUUUAAUUUUAAUAAACAAGAUUAAUUAAAUUAAUAAUAACAGAUGAAAGGUACAACUAAUGUUCUUUAGUUAAAAAGGGAGAAUUUACCAUGUAUUAUGCGACAUUGAGCAACUUUUCCGUCUAUCGGAUUUUUUGUCUAAUCUUACCCCCGCGGCCUUGCCAUCAGGAAAGUCUCAUUUUUUGCCCUUGAUUCUUCAGAGCUCCAAUCUGAAGUUAAUGUUAAACCAUAGUCAAUUCAGAGGUAAAUUUGGACAUGUGGAGGCCACCAAUUUCAUGUUGGAGCUCUGUUAAUGGCAAGAGAGUAUGAGACAAUUUGCUAAUGGUAAGGGUAUGAAAGGACCAAAGGUCUAGUGGAGGGAAAAAUUGAGCAAUUUCUAAUAGUAUUUAUAGGAUCAAGCUUGGACCUUUUCUUCUUUUAAAAAACAUGAGGAUAAACACAAUGUUAAGCUCUUUGUGGAAAUAAAAGGUAAAUAGUGGGACAUUUUCAUUUAGAAAGUAAAAAUGUAUCGCAAUAAUCUAUUAUGGAUUUUGAACAACUGAUAUAUUGAAUUGCAAUCGUGUUAUCUAUGUUUUUUUUAGAUUUUGCCUCAUUCAGCCUGUAUUUUGAAAGCUAAUUUAUUCAAUUUGUAGAUGGACCUGAAAUUUGAGAUAUUUUCCCUGGGUGAUGUUUCAAAAACUGUUGGAAAGCUUCUAACAGACAUGUCAAGUCUUUAUGAUGUCGGUCGACGUAAGAGAUCUGCAGGGCUAUUACUCAUUGACCGCACUCUUGACCUUCUUACUCCAUGCUAUCAUGGGGAUUCACUUGUGGAUCAAAUGUUUUCAUCAUUGCCUCACAGAGAACGGAUGGCAUCCUUGAGUCAAUCUAAAAGCUCCCAAAGCCAGGUUAAACUUGGCCCUGCUUACUUGCAACGUUCUCCCCUCACCGUUCAGAUACCACUUAAUAAUUUCCUAAGAGAGGAUACUUCAAGUUCUUACAACUUUCAGCUGGUGGAAAGCGUUGAAGCAUUUCUCCGUGGUUGGAAUUCAAGAGACUCAACUUCUCAGAUGGUUGAGUUGGUGAAUUUUAGCACUAAACUUAGUGGUGAAAUGUCCUCACAAGAUUUUCAGAGUGACCUUUGUGGUUCUUUCGUCUCUACGGAAAAUUUUCAUGGAACACCGUACCUAGAAGCCAUACUAGAGCGAAGAACAAAAGAUGGGGCUGUGCUGAUCAAGAAAUGGCUGCAAGAAAGCUUACGUCGAGAAAAUAUAUCAUUGAAUGCAAAAAUCCGUCCUGGUUAUGCUUCAAAAUCAGAUCUGCAGACUAUGGUUAAGGCAUUAGCUAAAAGCCAGUCAUUGCUGGCGAAAAACAAAGGAAUUAUCCAGCUAGCAGCAGCAGCACUAUCUGCAUUAGAUGAAUCACAUAGUGCUAAAUGGGAUGCAUUUAGCAGUGCUGAGAAGAUACUGAACGUAAAUGCUGGGGACACAAGCCAAAGUCUUGCUGCUCAAAUUAGUGAUCUCAUAAAUAAAAGUGCGUUAGUUAGUUCACAGGGUAAUAAUAAGAUGGAUGCUCAACGGGGGCUUCUUACUCUACAAGAUGCUCUGCUACUCACAGUUGUUGGAUAUAUAUUGGCAGGUGAGAAUUUCCCAUCUUCUGGGACUGUUGGUCCUUUCUCUUGGCAAGAGGAACAUUUUAUGAAAGAAGCAAUUGUUGAUGCGAUUGUUGAGAACCCAACAGUUGCGAAAUUAAAGUUUCUGAAAGGUUUAACUCAGGAUCUAGAAGCCAACUUUAACAGAAAAUCAGAAGAGAAGAAGGAAGAUCUUUCUAAUACCGAAAGCAUUGAUUUUGAUGAUGACGAUUGGGGUAGUUGGGGUGAUGAAGAUUCUGGAAAAGAUAAAAGAAAAGAGCAAGUGUAUGAUGACAUGCAAUUAAAGUUAGAAUUACGUGAUAGGGUGGAUAAUCUAUUCAAAUUCUUUCACAAAUUGUCCAGCUUAAAAAAGAAUGUUUCAUUCAGAGAGUGGUCACAGUCUCUGAGUAAGUUCAAUGAUGAUCCUUACUCAAACAAAGGACUGCUUUAUAAAGUGCUAUCAAGGGUGUUAGAUAAGCAUGAAGUACCUGGCUUAGAGUAUCAUUCAUCUACUGUUGGCCGCCUAUUCAAAAGCGGGUUUGGGAGAUUCGGCCUUGGGCAGGUAUGAUUCAAUUAGAUAUCAAUAUUUUCAUUGCUAGCCUAAGUUGCUGAUGUGAUUCUGGAAUUUUUGCAGGCUAAACCAAGUCUAGCAGAUCACGAUGUUAUUCUCGUGUUUGUUGUGGGAGGCAUAAAUGGUGUAGAGGUUUGUUUUCCUUGAACUCUUCAGUGCAUUUCAUGUAUCUGCUUUCAUUUUGGUUUAAUGAAUUUGCAACGCACAUAUGCAACAACGGUUAAGAUAUUAGUUAAUAAAGCGAAAAGACUAUAAAACACUGCUAGUAUGCUCGUUGAUGGGCAACCAAGAGUGUGGCCUAGUUGUCAAUGAAGUGGUUGAGAACCCUGAGGUCUUAGGUUCUAAACUCAUCGGAGACAAAAAACACUAGGUGAUUCUUCUCAUCUGUCCUAGCAUUGGUGGACAGAGUUACUUGACAUCGUUGAUGCUAUAUGAAAUAACAGUCCCUCCUUGUUCUAUCACUAUAAAACACUGUUAUCCUUUCUCUUUCAAUUGAAGUAUGCUCGUUGGUGCUACGUGAAAUAACAAUCCCUCCUUGUUCUAUCAAUAGGUUCGAGAAGCUCAGGAGGCAUUAUCCGAGAGCAACAGGCCUGAAGUCGAAUUAAUUUUAGGUGGAACAACUUUUCUUACACCUAAAGAUAUGUUUGAACUACUGCUGGGUGAUUAUUGUUGUGUUUAAGGCUGUGUAGCUUUCUAGUUUUGUUAUGUAAAAUUUAAGAUGAAUAGUUGUGUCUAAUAUCUGAUAUUUAGAGAACAUAAUUUUUCCUUAAUGUAAACAGUAUUGCAAUUUAUAUGAUUUUCAAUAUAUUUUUCGUAUACUUCCUAAUAAAAAAGAAAGACAAUUGUUGUCAACAAAGGAGUCAAUUUGCACCCUAUAUUUUAUUGUCUUAUUUGCAUCCUAUAUAACUUUAAAGAUGAAGAGAUACAUUUAUUAGAGGUAGAAAAAAAGUUGCGAUUCAAAAAGAGUCAAAUUGUUAUUUUCAUUCAAUUCAAUUAACUUUCACUAUAUUCAGGUAAAACUCAAUAUAAAACUUCAGUUACAAAAUAUUUGUUAUUGAAAAUUUUAGAACUUUUCACUUAAAAAACGAGAGAAUAAAAAACACGAUAAAAAAGGAAAAAGAUAUAUAAGGUCACCUUCCUUGAUAUGAGAUACAACCUCAUUGAUGGGUAUGUGUUGUAUUAUUUUAAUGAAGACAGUGUUUAAUAAUAUUAUAUCGUUCUCCAUAGUUAUAUAAUGUCACACAGUUAUAAUUUGAAUGAUAAAUCUAUAGGAAAAAGUAGGGUACGGAAUAGAGCUACAAAGAAAAGGUAGGAUAAAAGAUGAAAUAUAAUUAUUCAGCAAUCAAUGAAGACAAAAUGAGAAAGAAAAUUUUAAGGUAACGAUACGAUCACACCAAGUCAAUCGUUACAUAAAAUAGGUCUUUUCAUCAUUACCUAACGAUGAAUUUAAACAAUACGAUACAAAUAAAAUUUAAGUAACAAUCCAAACAAACAUUGUAAUUAAAUUACCAACACAAUCCAAUCCAAUGGGUAGCAACCAUCCAAACAAGGGAUAAGUUAUUGAUGCAAUUUUGAUAAGAAAACAAAAAUACUGUAAGUUUUGGGUCGUGGAUUGCCCAUGUGGACCGAUCCAAUCCAACUUUCAAACAAUUCAUUUUGAUAGAAAAAUCAAAAACUUCCGCCACAAGGUACACAAGCCAUCGAUUUUGCUCCGAAUUUCUCACAGAUACAUUAUGACCAUAUCUUGAUCCAUCGAUCAUGACUCACUGAAGCUAUAAUACCUUUACCACGUAAACCUGCUAAUGAAGAAAUUAUACCAUCAUGUGCUCUAUAUGAUGAAGUUAUGUUUGCUUUACACAUUGGAUUCCACAACUCCAAAACCUGCAAAAACAUUUGACAUGUAUCAAAUAGGGUCAAAUAAAAAGUUAUUAAUUCUUCGAGAGGAUUUAAUAUCUAAAACAUUCUAAGGUUACGAAUAUACCUUAUUAGAACCAAUCACCAACGCUAGAAUUCGGCCUGGGUGAUAAAUGCAGGAUUGAAACUUAUUCACACCAGAGAGCAAUUCAAAUAUCCACAUUCCUUCACGAAUAGACCAUAUUCGUGCGCUAUCUUCGCUCACUGAUGCAAUGUAUUUUCCAGUUACGUCCCAACAGAUUGAAAGAAUGUUUCCAUCGUGUCCCUAUAAAUCAUAGAAAAUGAAAUCGCAGUUAUACAAUAUAGUUAUGCAACAUGUAAGUUUGACUAAUAAUAAAGAAUAUAUAAGCAUUUUACUUGUAAUGUUUUCUGGAUGGUUUGAGUCUCAAUAUCAAAAAUAUUUAUGAUAUUAUUGGUAGAACUUGCCAAAAGGCUCCCAAGUUGAGGUUGAAAUCUAACUUGUCUACUCCCUCCCUGCAUUGACACGGAGUUUAAGAAUAGAAAUGUGUUAAUACUCUAUUUUUUAGACGGACUAAAAAGGAAAGUAAAUCAUAUAAAUUGAGACAGAGUAGUUAAUUCUAUACAAACCACUAUAUUUUGAAAAUUGUAUAGUAUAUAUGUUGUUUAGUCUAAUAAGAAUAUUGGUUCAAAUAACAUUACCAAAUAAAUUUUCUUUUCUAAAACAUCUUUUUGCAUGUAUAUAUUCACAUAAUAAUCCACUCUUAAUCUUUAAAAUCUUGAAAUUGGUUGGAAUAAAAAAGAAAGAAAGGUAAGAAAAUUAUUUACUACAAUUAAAUCCAGGAGUUUAUGUAAAACAAAUUCAACAAUGAUUUCAAAUCAGUCAAUUAAGAAAUCUCUAAAUUUAAAUAUAAACAACAAAAGCAGCUAACUAUCAAAUUAUGAAGUCUCCACAUGUUAAAUAGAGGUAACGGUAUAUCCCGCUAGUGAUAUUGCUCAAGACCUGCAUGAUUUUAAUACGCGUCACUAAUUGAUAAGACAUGCUUACUUAUAUAUCUGCCCAACAUCUCUCCUAUAUUUUUAUUCAUAUGAAACCUUUUGUCUUAAGUUGGAGCGUUACAUUUAAAAGUAAAAAUAAAAAAGAAGAAAAUAGAGACACCAACCUUAAGACUGAGCAUGCAAUCACCUCCAUUGACAUUCCACAGUCUAAUCUCAUUGUUGUGAUCACAAGAACUGAGAAGAUCCACCAUUGUUGGAUGAUAAUCAACUGACAUCACAUGCCCAUGAUGUCCUUCAAGGUUUCUAUAAGUCUUUGUUGGCUGGAUAAUGAUAAAAUGAUGACAUAUGUACAAUAUCAUGGUUGUAAUAUAGACAAAUUUUAAAAAAAUUGAAGAAUAUAAUCAAACACAUAGUUUACAAAACCAUUGAAUUUAUUUUACUAGUCAGAAAGCGUAAUCACAUACAAAGACGAAUUAUACCAUAUAAAAUCACAAUCUAAAAUCGUCCCUUGUUACAGAUUCGUUCCAACACUCUUCGGAAAAUAAAUCUUUCACAAGAACUUUAAGAGAAUAAUUUUUUUAAUUAUGGAAAUAGAGAUUGUACCUCAGCUGCAUCCCAUAUUUUCACAGUUUUGUCAAGAGAAGAUGUUGCAAACAUUGUUGAGUUUGGUCUAAAACGAAUAUCUGUAAUAUCCUGACUAUGACCUUCUCUACUACUAAAAUCGUUAUUUCCCAAAUUCCAAAUCAUAACCUAAAAACAUAAAAAGCAAUACAAAUUAAUUAACAAAAAAAGCUAGAGAUUUAAAAAAGUGUUUUCCCAUUUGACAAAAAAUAAAUAAGACAAACCUUAUUGUCAUGUCCACCAGUAGCCAAAAACUCUCCUUGUGUAUUAAAGUGACAACAUAAGAGCUCAAUAUUUGUAGCACGAUAGUUAUGAAUAUUUUUUAGAAAAAACCCUGUAAAGUAAUAUAAAGUCAAUUAUAUUAUGGUAAUAAAUUCAUUUCCUCAAUAUAAGAACAUUAAAUACACAACAUAUCUAGGUGAAUAUUGACCCUAACAAAAAAAUAUGUACAAUUCUUAUAUAGGAUUAACUAUUUUUGUUACAUACCUUUUGGUUUAUCUUUUUGCGUCGAUACAACGAUUGAAUUACUUCGACCUCCAAUUUCUUUCUCAACCUACAACUCAGGAAUAUAUAUUAUAUAUAUGCAAGAAUAAAGUAUUUGAAGAUUUUAUAUAGAGAGACAAGAAAAAACUAAGAAAGGGAAGUUCAUUCUCAAAAAAAAUGAUGAUGUAUGUUAAUAGGGAUGGCAAACUAAUGAGUCGAUUCAGGGUCAGAUCGAAAAUGUGUUACGUGAAAAUGAAUAAAUUAAAAUAUCUAAAUUGACUCAUAUUUUAUAUGGAUAAAUCAAAUAGAUAUCCAUAUUAUCCACUCUUUUAGUAUGUAAACAAAUAAUUACAAGAUUUUUUUUCUUAUUCCUUUUCUCUGUUUAUGGUGGUUGGUAUGAAGGAAAAUAUUUCCUUCUUUUCCUAGAAAAUAUUUUUCUGAUUUAACAAAAGUUUUGAAUAUUUUUUUCCAUACAGUGUAGAAGUCAUUUUUCUUAAAAUAGAGGAAAAUAUGUUUAUUUAAAAAAUAUUUUCCAAAAAAUUAAAAUUAACUAAGCAUAAAAAAAUUAAAAUUUUAAAAAAAAUAUAUAUUUCUUUCAUACUAAACACACCCUUAUAGUAAGUGUACUUUUUAGAAAUUCUUACACCCUUACACACUUAAGGGGAGUGCAAUUAAUGAAUAGCCAUGUAUAAUAUGGAUUGAUCCAUAUUUAAUCUGAAUCGAACAGAUAAAUCAUAAAUUUUACUCAUUUUACCACCCCUUUAUGUCAAUAACAUAGCAAAAUGAAAACAUAAUCACAUGAAGGGAUUCAAGAAGUUGAUCUUACUAAUCCCAGAGAACUCAAUGGAGAUUUCCUCUUUCUUCCAGUCUCCACCAUAGGUUGUUUUCCCUCUCUUCUCAAAAUUCUUUCAGGAGAAUCCAUUGUUUGUUGUUCUGCUAUUUCAUUCCAUGAGUUUCUUUGAUUUGUAUCACCAAACACCUAUCCAAAAAGAGAACAAAAAUAAGUUCUUAAUCAGUAUAACAUAUAUUUUGUCUCUUAAAUACUUAAAAACGAGUAUUAUAUUCAACUUACUCCUGCAACGUUUCCACCUUCAAUGUGACUAGGAAGGAAAUCUCCAUCACUUGUAAGAGCAUGGUAGAGCUUAUUACCAUAGUAAUAUUCAAUUGCUCCCUCAGGUAAAACUACUUGUCGCGGAGAUGAUACAGUAGUAAUUCCUGGAAAUUGUUCCUCUUGAAUAUGCAUUGUUACAUUAGAUGGCCAUUCUUGAUGAAAUGCUUGUUGAAUAGAUGUAUUAUUCCCUGUAGGUACAACACAAAAGAAGAUCCUUGCUAUAAGAUAUAGUACUAAAGAAAACUCUUCGUUUGGUUGGGAACAAGUUAUCCCAAGAUUAGUUAUCCUGGGAUUAGCUAUUCUGGAAUAACUUAUUCCAUCACUAUGGUAUAAAUGGUGGGACAAGUUAUCCCAAGAUUAGUUAUCCUGGGAUAACUUAUUCCAUCACUAUGGUAUAAAUGAUGGGAUAAGUUAUCCCAAAUAUGGCAACCAAACCAGAUAUGAAAAUUUUAUUAAUACUUGUGUCGAAGUAAUUAUUUUCAUUAAAGCUAAAUAAGAAACAAACCUGCAUCUAUAAGUUCUGGUGAAGUAAGCAAAGCAUUUGCAGGUACUUCAAAAUCAAUCUCAUUCAUUUCAUUCAUUCGUUCAGAAACCUCUAAAAUUGGUUCUUUUUCCAGCCACUCUAACAUAUCAGGUGAAAGCGGUAUGUCCAUCACAUUAUUAGAUGUAUUUUCCAUCGUAUGAUCAUCAGAAGCAUUUAAUUGAUGUGUAUGAACGUUGUUAGUAACGACGUUUUCGAGUGUUGACGAUACCUGAAAAAAAUUACAAAUCAGGUAGUAUUUAGUUUGGAAAUAAUAUAUAUUCAUAUCAAUUUAAACAUGAAUAAGUAUAGAAAAAGUUCUUGGGUAACACCUUAUCAACGGAUUCAACAUUGAGCAUAGGAACGUUUGGGUACACAAAGCUAUAUGCUUCAUAGAAUUUAUUCCACCACAUUUGCAGGAAUGCUUCUUGAGAAGAAUUGACAGCUGAAAUGAAUCAAAAAAUCAAACAAUUAUUACAUCAAAGUUUGAUAUCACAUUAUCACAUCACUUUUUUAUUCCACAUGCAUUAAGAAUUUAUUAUUUCACAUGCAUAUGAAUAAUAAAGGAUAGUUAACACACUAAAAACCUGUUUGGAUUGACUUAAAAGUUGGUCAAAUAUAAUUAUCAGUCAUUUUUAGCUUUUGAUCAGACUGUUUGACAAAGUUAAAAAUAAGGAAAAAUCACCUAAAUUAUUUUACCCUAUUCUCUAAAAUUCUCAACCAUUUGAAAAAAUUACAAAAAAUUAUAUUCUAGUCUCUCCUAUUCUCGGAUAUAUCACUUUACACGAUAUAUCGAUCGGAUACAUCACUUUACGCAAUAUAUCGGUCAGAUACAUCACUUCACACAAUGUAUUGGUCGGAUAUAUCACUUUACGCAAUGUAUCGAGACGUACGCGAUGUAUCGAGACAUUGAGUGAUGUAUCCGAAAUCGAGAUGCUGCUAGAUGUAUCCGAAAUCUGGAUGCAAUGUAUCGGGAUGUAUCCAGAUUCCACCAAAUUUAAUGGGUUUUUGUAAAUUGAAAAAGAAUAGGGAUGAGAUGGCUCUUAACACUAUCAGAUCUGUGUAAAAUAAAAUAACUUGAAAUGACUUAAAAAAGUUUUAAAAACCAAAAGUAGAACCCUCCCUACUUUUUAUUUUUAACUUAAAAGUCAUCUAAAUUACUUUUUAAAAACUACUUUUUUUUUCCAGUCAAUCCAAACGGACGCUAAGUACCAUAUAUUCAUAUGUAAGAAUUAUCAAAUAAUUUAAGCAUACGAAUAUACAACCAUUUUAGUAAAAACAUCCAUUACUAAAAACACAUAUAUAAGUUUUUACUAUUAAAAAGACUUUCUUACCAUAAUAAUUUUGAUUAGCAAAAACUUCACGGCGGAAUGUCUCUCUAGUCUCAUGUAAACCUUUUAUAAACAUGUAAUCAAGAAUGACUUGAUCAAGUCUGAAAAAAUACAACCAAAUUAAUGGAUAAACAUGAUUAAUAAUAGUCAAAAAAAGGGAAAAAUUCACAUACAACAAAAAUCAAAACAAAAUUAGGAAAACAAAUAUAAUUAUCAAGUGUAUCAAUCAUCAUUCAUAUAAGUAUAAAAUAACACUAAAGUUUAAUAGCUUUUGCUAUAAAUAAUUGGUGAUAUAUCACACAUAAACACUUACAAGCGUUGAGCCUCCAAAUUGGCCAUAUGAUCAUCAAAAGCAGAACCUUAACUUAUCAUAAAAGAGAGAAGAAUUGAAUUUUUGAGCAAGAACAAUUGGGAAAAAUGAAGAACUUUUUUAUUUUAUUUUUGUUAUAUAUACUCUAUUUAUUAUUAAAACAAUCAGAUUUCAAAAAGAAAAGAAAGGAAAGGAGUUAAUGAUCAGAUACAAAAACGAGAAUAAAGUUGAAAUAUUUGAUAUAAUGCAAUCUAUUUUAAAUUUGCAUUUGAUUGUUCCACCAACUUACCAUAUAUUUAUUUGUCAAUUUUUAUUUUUAUUUUUAAAAAUUAAUCCAAUUACUUAAUCUCAUUAGAAAAUGAGAAGCAUUUCAAAGAAAUUAAGGGCUUUGAGAUAAUGUAACUCUUAUUACCAAAAAAAAAAGAAUGCAACAACAAAGAUUUGAUAUGAUAAUAUAGUCUUGGUAAGAAAUUAAAUUAUUGUUGACUAGAUACCAUUUUAAUUAAGUUAUUAUUGGACUAUCUACUAAAUAUCAGGGGAUUUGUUGAUACCAAACGGUAACUUAAUAAUUGUUAGAAUGGUCUAGUCAAGUUAUAAUAACCCAAGACUUCAUUAGCUCCAUUCAUGCAUAUUAUGAAUUUAGACAUAUAUGAUAAGUUAGUAAUAUAAUACACUGUAUUUUAAUUUGGUCUUACGUGAUAUUUAUAGACUUUAAUUUGGUCUUACGUGACAUUGAAAUAUACAUUUGACCAACAUAGAAAAACUAAGUGAAUAAUUCAUGUUAAUUUAUCAAAUUAAUUAAUCAAAAUAAAUUAAUUCAUAUUCAUUAAUUGAACAACUAAUUUUUAAAAAAAUUAAAUAAAAAUAAAAUAACAAACUUACUUAAUUCCUUAAUGCAUGUAAAAUAAAAAAUUGUGACAUAACCCCACAUAAACUUAAACGGGAACCCCAAAGAGUCCUCCCACAAGCUCACUAGCUGACUAUCACAACUGACCAAAAAAAAUCAAUUCUUGUUUUGUGGGUUUUGUUGAUUUUCCAUUGAAAAUGGGAAGGAUAUUUGUUGUAGAUCUUGAAGGCAGGAUUUACAAGUGCAAAUUCUGCAAAACCCACCUUGCUCUUGCUGAUGACCUUGUUUCUAGGGUAACCAUUUCUUCAAUUUCCCUUUCUAGCUAAGUUUUUAUAAAUAAAAAUCUUAUCUUUAUUAUAGAGCUUUUCAUUGGGUUUUGGCCUUUUGGGGCUUGUUGUUUCUUUGAGUAAUUAGCUUUUAUUUACUUGUUUUUGCAUAUUGGAUGGUAUUUUUUUGUUUUGAGAAAGAAUACUUAGAUGGUGUUUUCUUGUUUUUGCAUAAUUAGAUGGUAUUUUUUUUGUUUUGAGAUAGAAUAAUUAGAUGGUAUUUUCUUGUUUUUGCAUAAUUAGAUGGUGUUUGUGCCUACACAUCCUCCAAAAGUAUAACCAAAGGAGAAAACAGGGCAACUAGAAAGAAAAGAAAUGUUCUUGCAUGAUCAUUUGCUUAUGCUAGUUUUUUUCGGCACGUGUAUGUCAAGUCAUGUAGAACGUAGGCGUUUAGCCAUGUUUCACUGUGAAAUUUGAAAAAGAAGUGUAUUUUUUUUUUCAAAGUGAAAAUUGAUAUUGUUUGGCCAUGAAUAAAAAAUGGAGUUGUUUUUGAUAAUUUAGAGUGAAAAAAGUGAUUUUGUGUCCAAAAAGUGACUUGAAAUUCUAGAAUUCAACUCAACUUGAAGUUGAGUUCCUGAAGAAUUUUGUGUCCAAACAUGUUUUUCGGAGUUCAACUCUGGGAAAAAAGUGAUUUUUUUUUAAUAAUGUAUGGAAGAAUGUGUGGAGAGUAGUCAUGCUUUUUGCUUUGUUUGUUUGUUUCAUUCUGGGCUGUGAAGAAAGUGAUUCAACUUGAUAAUUGGAAGACUAGGUAUGGACUAUGGUAUUCAUGCUUAUUACCCUUCAAGUUGGAAGUGAUUUGGUUUCUAUCAUUAGUUAUGUGAUCUGUACCAAUUUAUAAUAAAUGUCACCUAGCUUAAUUUUUCAAAGUUGACGGAAAAGUUUUUAACUUCUUUCGAGAUGGAUGUAUUUUGUGAUAUAUAUGGAAGCGUUUAUGUUAUAAUUGAAGUGUUGAAAAUGGAUUAUGUACAAUUUGCAUGAAUUUUGUAACCGAUAUCUCCAUUUGGUUUACUAUUCUGGCUUUUGUUAUGUUUUGAAUACCUUUGCUUGCUCUCAUGCUAUUAACUUCUUUCCAAAUGGAUAUAUUUUGUGAUAUUUAUGGAAGCAUUGAUGUUAUAAUUGAAGCGUUGACAAUGGAUUAUGUACAAUUUGCUUGAAUUUUGUAACCGAUAUCUCCAUUUGGUAAACUAUUCUGUCUUUUGUUAUGUUUUGAAUACCUUUGCUUACUCUCAUGCCAUUGUAUGUGAUAAUACAAUCAAAUCUCUUUGUAACAACAUCAUUUGUCCUGAUAUGUUUUGGUUGCAUAGCACAAUGUUGUUAUAGAGAACGUAUAAUAUAACAAAACAUUGUUUGCCCUGCACCCCUACUUCAAAAACCUUUCUUUUAGUCGAGGAUCUUUAGGAAACAACCUCUCCUUCUACCCCCACAAUGAUAGGGGUAAGGUAUGUGUACAUUAUAUCCUUCUUAAACUCCACUUGUGAAAUUACACUAGGUAUAUUGUUAUUUUAUAUGGCAGAAUAAAGUACAUUUUUGUGUGGAUGAUCAAUGCGGAACGAAUCUUGUAAAUGGAUUUAAGAUUUAGCUCAUUAGUUAAUUUCUAUAUUUUGAAUAUAAUUAUUGAUUAUCGUUCUGUCAAAUAUGUCUUAUCCCUAAAAUCAAUUAAACUUAAGUCUUUCUCUUAAAUAGCUAUAAAUGUUGACAUGCCAUUUUCAUGCAAGUGCUUAUAAACUCGAAGAACACAACGUAAAAAAACAUAAAGUUAAAUUACCAAAUGCGCAAAGAUUAGGCUUGGAGAGUGAUUCAGCAUUUUAAUCAAUCUUUAUCCUUCUGGAAAUUUUCUGCCACGAUUUCUUAUUCAUAGAAUUGCACUUUUGGCUUGCUUGGUUUGUAGUUUUUUAACGGUUGGUUUUAUGGUCAGGGAUUUCAUUGCCGCAGGGGAAAAGCCUACUUGUUCAAUAAAGUGUGAGUGCCUAUUAAUUUCUGAACUACACAUUGAGCAUAACCAGUUUUGUUUUAUGACUUAAUCUGCUUGUUUCACACUUGAAUUGACUUCGUUGAUAAUCAUGCAUUCAUUUGAGACUGCUAUCUGUCACAUUCUUUUGUAUCCUAUCUUACUAGUUAUGGUAUUGGGAAGAGGAUUGAGAUGUAGUCACAUAAAUUGGGAUAGAGGGAGUAUUAAAUUCUUUUAUUAAAAAAAAAGAUAUUUGCUAUAUUAACCUUAUGUUUUAUAUGCCGUCUUUUCUCUGUAUGAUAUAUUCAUGAUUGUCAGUGUUAUGGAAUUGAUCUAUCCUUCAUCCCUUGUGUCAAAUUCUCAAAAUUUACCAUGUCGAUGUGUCUGCAACUAAUCAUAUGCAUUUCACAUCCAUCUUCAUGCUUUCUAAAUUGUAGUGGAUUGAGGAACUCACAUUGUAUGAACUGUAAUAUAACUUUAGCCUCUAGACAGAUGUUAUAUGUAGAAGAAAAGACUUCCUUUCUAGCGACGAUGACUUAUUAGUGAAUCCAAAAGAGUUCCCAAUUUCAAUAUUGCUCCCAUAUAUUGUUUUCACGUUACUGAACAAUUAAAUGCUAGCAACAGCAUCCAACUUAACCAUACCACUUGAAUGCACUAAAAUCAGCAACUUGAUUUUGUGCAUUGAACAUGGCUGUUGAGCUGAAGAUGUAUUUGAAUAGAAAUUAGUGUUUGCUUUUGCUAGUAGUGGAACAUGUAUAUUUUCUCUCAUCCGUCCUAUCUUAUAGAUUUGGGUUCCCAAGAGGUAUCACUUAUAAGAAAGAUUUUAGACAAACCUCUCCUUUUUCUUUCUCACAAAUAGGAAGUUUCGAUUCCAACUGGGAUAUUAAAAGGAUUACCAGAUAUGCACAUUUUUUCUCGAAUUUUACUCUUACCGACUCUGAUUUUUGAAGCAAGAUGUUGUCGAAUUAGACCACAAAUUACAAAUGUAUGGAAAAGUUCUAUUGCUAUUUCACGAGGCAAUCACUUCGAUGUAGUGAAAGUGAAGGAUCCACGGCAAUGAGUUUUUCAAAAAACAUGAUCAGAAAAUGAGAAAAAUGGAAUUCUUUGAAAAGAAAAAGAAAUCCAUUUUAUAGAUCCAGUUGGUAAGGACUAAAGAUUACCGCUUCUUUUUUAUUUCUAUGGUCAAUGAUCAUAGAAGCCUUGGCAGUGCAAUAGCUGAUAUUUUACUAGCAUCAUCUUCCCUCUGCUUUCCCAACACUUUGCAAUUGUGCACCAUUCGAUAUAUAUGCAGAGGUCUGACUGGUCCGCCUGAUUUUGUGAUUCAGGGUGAAUGUAACUGUUGGACCUCAGGAGGAAAGGGCGAUGCUUUCUGGGAUGCACACGGUAGCAGAUAUAUUUUGUUGCUGUUGUGGGCAAAUUGUUGGCUGGAAAUAUGUAUUCCCUUUCGUUCUCUCUCUCUAUUUCUCGUGCAUGUAGACAUAGAUACCAAAACAAGUGCACACACAAAAAGAGGAGUUAAAUAGUUAGCCCUCUUGCCGUAUAAAUAUGUUACCAAUUGCACAUGCAUGAUAUACCUACACCGGAAAUUUUGUUAACAACUAGCACUCUACGUUUCUAUCAUGCAGGAGGCUGCACACGAGGAAAGCCAGAAGUAUAAAGAAAAGAAGUUUGUUCUCGAAAGGUGCCUCUUUUUUCUUGUUGAUUUCACAUUCAACAUGUAUACAUGAAAACAUCCACCUGUUUUGAAUCUCUUCCAUAUAACAUUACAUGUUCUUCUGGUUGUUUGUUAACAGGGGUAGGAUCGUUGACGGAGUUGACACUGAAUUCUACAUCGAUACUCGUCCAACUAUCAGUGAUACUGAGGAUGCAUAGGCUUUGUUAUGUUAUGUAUCUAUCUAAACAUGUGUGAUUGUUGUAUCUUGCAAGUCUAGUUUGUAGAUAUAGGGAAGAAGCUGUUUGUAUCAAAAUAUUGUGUGGUUGUAUCUUGUAAGUUUAGUUUGCUAGUAUAUAAAGAAGGUUAUGCAUAAGUUUUUGGUCUACAAUACCUGAUUUUUUCAUGAUGUUAUAGGAGCUAUAUGAUUAUUAGCUACCAAAUUGGUUAAACUAAAAAUAACUUUGUAAGUAUUCACUCAUCCUUGAUACGGAGAGUCUUUAGGAAAUGCUUCAAAUAUACAAUUCGAUGCAACAAAUUUUUAACUCUUUUUUUCUUUUUAUCGUCUCUUCAAAAUUUAUCUUUUGUUUUAAUUUUUUAAGAAUAAAAUAAACAAUGAAAAAGUAAAAGUGAUUUGGAUUCGAUUCAUUUUUCGAAUAUAAAUCUACAAAAGCAAAGAAAGCAUAAGAUGCUUUUCGAAUAAAUAAAAGAUCCAAAUUGUUCCUAUGUCAAAAUUGCUUUUUUAAGUAGAUAUUUUAUUUAUGGCAUAAUACAUAAAUGUGUCAUUUAACUUGGCUUCAUUUUACGUUUAUGUCUUCCAACUUUGGAUAUGCACAAGUAGACACUUAAAUUUGUAUAAAGUAGAAUAAGUAAACACACGAGUCCUACAUGGCACAAUACAUGUCGGACACCGUAGGAUAAAAAAUGACAUUUUACGUUUAUGUCCUCCAACUUUGGCUAUGCACAAGUAGACACUUAAAUUUGUAUAAAGUAGAACAAGUAAACACACAAGUCCUACAUGGCACAAUACAUGUCGGACACCACGUAGGAUAAAAAAUGACAUGUAGGAUGUCAUGUAGGACAUGUGUGUCUAUUUGUUCAACUUUAUACAAGUUUAAGUGUCUACUUGUGCACACUCAAAGUUGAAGGACAUAAAUGUGAUUUAAAGCCAAAUUAAAGAGGCAUAUUUAUGUGUUAUGCCUUUAUUUUUUCAUAUCCUUAUUGUUGAGAUGAUUUUACUAUUCUAAUUUCUAAUUGUACAAGCUUGCACAACUAAUUCUUUCAUUCUUAAUCAAACUUUGAUUUUGAGUUUGGGUAAAUCACAUUAUUAUAGGUACUAAUUAUAUGUUAAAACAAUACUUUUUUUUAAUUAUAUAUAUAUAUUUUUAAAUAGUGUUCUGAAUACAUGUAUCUUAGAUAUACGCAAGUCAAAUUAGGUGUAAUUUAUUUCAGAUACAUUAUAUUCAAGCUUGAUUCACAUGUAUUUAGAAUACAUCGACUUUCUUGCUCAUUCAUCCCCCUCUCUUUAUGUAUUUGUAUUUCAAAAUGUAUUUGAAUUUCACAAAAAAAUAUAUAUCUAUGUUCUCAAUGCCAAUAAUUUCUUGUAUAUGUGAUCUAAAUUUCAUCCCAUGUAUCCCAUAUCAAUUUAGUGUUUCCGCAUAGAUACAUGUAGUAUCCAAAUAUGCACUGAUACAUUCAUGAGUGUAUUCGUGUAUAUAUACAUGUAUUUGAUAUCAAAAUAUACACUGAUACACAUCAUAAACCGAGAAAAAAGAGGAGAGAUCAAUAUAAUCAGAGAUGUUUGUUAAAUUAGGUAGUUUUUUCAAAAAAAAAUAAUAAUCUUGUUUGGAGUAUGAAAUGAACCUGACAACACACGUAAAUCUGAAUUUAAUCGGGUUUUAAUCCGAGUUUCUAACCUACCAUGAAAAACCACAAGCUCAUAUGAUUUCCCACCAAACGCUACAGAUAAAUACCUGAAAACAGAUUCCUUUGAAGAAGAAGGUAAAUAAAAAUGGCGUUCUCAGCUAACCCGUUAUCUCUGAGUGUACCCGAACCCGUAUUCGAAACCUGGCUCCGAGAUACCGGUUACCUCGAAAUUCUCGAUCAACGGACUACCGAUCUCCACCGCCACUCCUCCACCACCGCCGCGGCGGCGACGACCGCUUCCUCCGACACUGCUGUUACUAAUUCUGCCGCAGCCGCGGUUUCAAUCUCAAAUGGAGUCUUCGUUCUCAUAUUUUCACGUAUUGGAACCUUACUGUCGCUUUUAACGCUUAAUCCGUUUGCAAAACUCACCUCUGAUGACUUUUCCGGUGAUACCCCGUCGUGGACCCUCCAAUUCGUCGGGUCAUUUGAUUCCUACUCAUUUCCUUCGUCGCCGUCUCAGGCUCGGCUUAGAGUACACGAGAAUGUGAAACGCUAUUCUCGGAAUUAUGCCUCUCUCUUCGUCCUCUUCUUUGCUUGUUCUCUGUAUGUUCUCUCUCUCUAUCAUCUAUACACAAUGACACAUUCUAUAUGUAUGUAUGUGUAUUCGUGUCUGCAAACAUGUAUAUGAACAUUGGCAUGUAUCUGUUAUGCGAUUAGAAUUAUUAAUAAUUAACUUUUGAACUUGUGCAAUAACUUGAAUGGUUGGCUUUGUUUUGAACACUAUCUGCUAAGGCUUAGUAUGAAAUGGACCCGAAUGGAGUGGAUUAAAUAUACAUCAUUCAUAUAACUUACUACAACUAAUUUAGCUGAAGGAUUUCGAUUUCAGUUGCUUGAUUUUUGUGCUAUUUGAUUGCUUUGGUAUUGAUUGCAUUUUGAUAAAUUUGGGUAACAGGUACCAAAAGCUGUUUGCCCUUGUUGGGUUGAUAUCAUGUUUAGCACUUUGGGAUGUAUUAAAGUUAUGUGGAGAUCGCUGGGGAUUAGAGCAGCGCCCAGUUAUCAAACAAAGCUUGAUUCGCAUUGCUCAGUGUGGUGAGUCAAUAUUCUUGAGUACUUCUCCCCUCCCCCUCCCUCCCUCCCUCCCUCAAAAGUAUAAAGACGCCUAGGGUGUUGCUCUCUUAAAUGAUUCAGGUCCAGCAUUCUAUCAGUGUUUAUGGUGAUGGAUGAUAUGAUCAUAGCUUUGACUGUUUUAUCAUUUGCCAUAUAUUUAUCCUGUGUAUAUUGUAAAAGCGAACACCAGGAAACAACAAUUGGCUGAUCCCUGAUCUUUUAGCUUCUAGUUAACCUUUUGAAUAUUGUCUAUACUAGUGUUCCUUUUCAUAAAUAGCACUCUGCACUCCUCUAGAUUGGAGGCUCUUAUGCCAACUUUUGGUCGAGGCAGAGAGUUUACGUUCAUACCAAAUGGAGACACUUAAUAGCAGGACAUGUGUAACUUAAAAAGUAUUCAUAUCUAUAAUAACACUUAUGAGACCUAUGUGUUAUAAGAUCAAAGAAUUAUAUGGAACAGUUGGGAUGGCUGUUUCUACAUCCAACUUUAUCCACGUCAUCAUUUGUUCUAAUUAUAGUUUUCCUCAUGUUGGGAGACGUUCAUUACAUCCUAAAAGUCCAGCUCCUCUUUUGCUUUCUUGAUAAUCUGAUCUAUAAGAUCGCUACCCAUCCAUCCAAUUUGAGACCAAAUGAAUUUUCUUUCUUCCUAUUGCAAAUUAGAUGCUAGAACAUCAGUAAAAGAGUUUUGGACAGCAUAUCAGUGGCAACGGAUGUAGAUUCAUGUGAUGGUCUAAAGAAAAACAUUGUCAAAUAAUUGCUUAUAGAACUACAUACUCAGGAGUCAGUCAGGACUAUCCAAAACCAUCAUAUGCCAGUCUGUUGAGGUGUUGGAUGACCACAUAUUUAUAGGUUACUGAUAUUCAGAUACAUUGGAUUUGCAAUGGAUGCUCUUAAGACGUUUCACCAAAAUUACUGGAAAUCAGGAUCAAGGACAAAUGAACUAAGCUAAAGUAUAUAAUGAGUUGGUACUAUAAAAUAGAUGCAGAUGUGAGGAAUUACAUACAAAUUGAUCAUGGAGCAGGGAUAUAUGGUUUGACUAUAUUGUUCCCUAAACAAUUGUAUAUUCGUAUAAAAUGCAGUAAAAAGUUCAUAUAUUAGCUGCUUGCAAGACAGUGAAUGCAUAUUUUGUAAAAUCUGUUUCUUCAUCAUUAGAGAAGAAUGUCAUGUCACUAUCUCAAAUCAAUUUUUGUGUUCAAAGUUUCACAAGUUCUCACAAUGAUAGAACCCCCAACCCAAUUUGGAGAAAAACUGAGGCGUGGAUGGUGUGGGGAUGAUGAGGAAGGUACCGUAUCCUUACUCAAAAGUAUUAUAAAUAAGCAAAAUAUGGUAGAAACAGCUUAAAUGCUUUAGUCCACGGAUAUUGUAGUGUCGAUGGGCUUGAAAGGAAAAGAAAAAGGUGGGGAAUAUUUGAGUAUAUUCGUUUCCAAAAGAAAAAAAGAAAAGGGGAAGUAGAAAAGGCUUAUGAUCUCUCCAUUUCAUCCUUUGUAGUACCUGCACCUUGUCUUUUACUCAAAUAUUGUGAAGAAGCAAAAUAUGGUGGAAAUAGCUUUAAAUGGUUUAGCCUCAGCCAGAAUAGUGUCGAUGAGCGUAAAAGUAAAAAACAGUGGUAAAGGAUUUCUGGGAAGCUUUUUGGCGAGAAAUUAAAAGAAGAGGGAAAAGUAAAAAUGGAAGGUUUAUAAACCUCCAUGUCAUCUGUUGUAGGAAACCAGUACCAGCAAAGUUAACGAGAUAUUGGUAUCUCUUCUCCAUAUCAUCUUUUUGCAGUACCUGCGAAGUUAAUUAUUAUACAUUGAUAUCUCUUACAAACAACGUAAAGGAUGCUUCUGCGAUAGAAAAAGUUAAUGGGCUGUAGUUUCCCUGCCCCUUAGCACGAUCUUUUAACCAAACAUAAUUUAUGAGAUGGGGUGAGUUCUACAUCUCUACCUUCUUGUUUUCAGUAUUUCUAGAGGUUACUGUUUCUUCACAAGUGAUGUGAAGGUACGGAUUACGACUUCAUAGUUGAAGUGAUGCGCUUCUGAGAAGCGCGUUCUUCAAAUAGUGAAAUGCAAAGUAGCUAUACCUGGUAUUCAGGUAUUUACUUCAAAAGAAACUUGUGUGGAACUACCUAGUUAUUAUCCAAUUUCGGCAGAAGAUUGUUGAUUGAAGAAUCUAACUAGAAAGGAUGAGAAAAAGGAAAAAAGGAGGGGAAGAUAGGUUUCUUUUGGGUACUGGGAUACUAGGACUACUCUUACAUGCAUGUUUCAGCAUUCUUUCUGUAGUCAAUGUCUUCUUCCACUUCUUGAGUUUAUAAUACUUCUUGACUUCUCUUCUACUCUGUUAGUAGAGUUCCAUAUAAAAAAGGAUAAAGGGGAUACUUUUUUAUGGUAAAAAAUUCUGUCAUUUCAGUUAUUUCUCAAGAAGAAAAGAGGGGAUCUGUUGUACUUAAGUAUUCAAUUCACCAAUAAGAUAUGAAGGCUUACUUCACAUUUAGAAUUUGCACAAAAACAGACUAUUUUCUACAAACUAUAUAUGAAGCUAAAUGCAGACUAUUUUCUACAAACUAUAUAUAAAGCUAAAUGCUGUGGAUUGAUUAUGUUUUAUGGUUGAUUAGGUGAAACUGAAUAAUCAUUCCGUGAUUGUAUGUUAUGUUUUCAGUGUUUAGUUGAAGUUACAUUUCAAGAUGUUUAUUGUUAGAUUAAUAUUGCCUGAGAUUAGAUGUUGAAAUUAGAAUUUUCAUUGCAGGAAGUACCAAUUUAACAAAAUAGGAGUAGUAAUUUUCAUUGCAAGCUUUUUAUAAGUUCAUGUAUGUUAGAUCAAUUUUGUGUCUCUAGUUAUUGUACACUUUGUUUCCAUUUUCCAGUAAGCAUGCAUGUUAAAUCUUGAUUCACAGUUUUUGUUUAAAGCCCAAAUGAUGUUGUUGCUGUUUUUGUGCUUCUAGUUCUUAGAGACGCUUCUCAGUCUUUUAAAAUGUAUAUUGGACGGUUUUUGUUUCCCUAGAUAAUUUCGAGCACUCAUUUAUUUUCGUAAGCAGAAUUGUUCUGAUACUGUAUAAAUUUGAGAACUGAGUCAGCCUUUCUUGUACAGCUACUGCAGUUAUUCUGUUCUGUACCAAUGUUCAAAUGGCUCUCUUCUCAGCUCUUGCGGUCAGUUAUGUAGGUAGGUUAUCUUUCGUGCCUAAUUUGUUAUCUUACUCUUUAUCUUCUGUUUUAUUGCUAAUUUCAAGAGCUUAUGGCUAAUCGAUGCAUUUGCAGUGAUGAUUCUGCAUGCCUCAUUUAGGAAGCUGACCCCCUCGAAACAAUUAACUUCAAAAGAUGGAAACAGGAGGGUCCUUAGAAGUUGAUGAGUGGUUAUUAUUGUCAAGUCAGACAAUCACAUAGUCGUCGCCUGGAGAGAAGGUAAACCGUGUUUACAAACUAUAGCAUACGAGUCUUGGUUCAUGAGAACAUCUCUCGGUUUGAAACUGAGAAAAUUCUUCGAGUUACAAUGUAAGAAAGCUUCUUCUUCUUCUUAUUUUAAGUUUAGGUUGUAUGUAUAAGUCUAUACAAUGGAGAGAAAAAAGACUAGAUAAGAUUGUAGAUGGGUGUAGAACCCUAAAGAGAAUUGGCACUGCUAAGGCUUUGUUAUUUUGCUAUAUGAAUUAGUAUUAGUAACUCAUUUGUUUAUCUUCGACUGAAUGAUUUGCUUUCCUUGACAUGCCAUAAUUAAUACUUAAUAGUAUAAACUUUGUCUUUGCACUUAAACAAAUGAGCUAAUGUUGCUUUAAAGAAUCAUAGUUUAUGAUUGGCUUAAUACAUAAUCAACCCCUUAAACUUGUUAGGAUAGUUCAUUUAGACAUUCGAACUAAGUAAUGUUUCAAUUGAACAUCUCAACUCCUUCUAUGUGUUUUAAUUAGAUAUUUUUAAUUCAAAUUUUGAAUUAUUCUUUUCGUGUGUAUAGUUAAUCACAUAAAAUAUAUUAUUUGCUUUAAUUAUACGCAUUUGCCUCGAUAAGCUAUAAAAUUUCAAACAUUUUUCUACUUGAGGUUGAUGCUUAUAAUUAAAGGAGAUGUUAUAUUUUAUGUGGUUAACUUAAUUAUCUAAUAGACAAAUUAAAAUACACAUAAAAUUUGAAGCAAAAGUGUCUAUUUGAAACACUUUAUUAGAAGUUGAGAUGUUUUUUGUUAGAACAAAGCUUAGUUCAAAUAUUUAAAUAGAAUAUCAUGACAAAUUUAAGGAACUGAUUAUAUAUCAAAUCUUUUUGAAUAAUAAUAAGGAUUAAAGUGUUUUAAGUUACUAGCCGCCCAUGUUGACUCCCUCCCACCGGGGGCGGAUUUAAAGGGUCAAGAGGGUGUUCAUCCAAACCCUUUUGAUAAAAAAUUAUAUUGUAUAUACAAGGUAAAAAAUUUAAACAUUUCAAGUUUAGGAUUGAAAUUUAUUUUUAAUGUUUCAAAUUAAAGUUCUUCACACUACAUUUUUAUUUUUCAAAUCCUUUCUUGUAAUCUAUUCAAACACCUUAAAAUUAUGAUUUCACACAGUAUGUCCAGGUGCAAACCAAGAGUAGAAGAUCAUAUUUGGUGUAAUUUUUGUUAUAUUGUUUGUACAAUCUUUGCUGUUGCCAAGGUGACUUUUUGGUGACAACUUUAACUUUACUUUGAGAUAAUGCAUUGAUUGCAAGUAAAAAGACAGAGGAGUUAACAGUGAACUUUGUCUCUUUAUGGAGUACCCCACAAUGACUUUUAGGACAAUUUUGCUUUGAUUAAAAUGCUAAAUGAUGAUUUCCAUUUCAACUUUUUAAUUUUACUACUCUAUAAAAACUAUUUUAUUUUGCAUAAGUACUAUAGAAAGUGUCAUGCCUAGAUAGUUAUCUUAAUUUGGUGUACAACUAAAUAUGUCAAUUUCGAAAAUUUACAUCUAGACACAAUAACUUGGUUUAAAUUAUUCAGUAAACACACUUUCUCGAAUGUGUUUUCUCAAUGUUGGAGUGUUAGCUGAGCAAACUUAAAUCAAGUUAAAUUUACCUAAAAGACAUGUAAUCUUUUUUUUGGGUAACAAGCUUAAUAUGAUAUUCUAAAAUACUGUGUUAUGUUAUAAUCGAUUAGAUUGUGUUAAUAAUAUAAAAAUUAUUUAACUUAAAUCCAUUUUUUAUCAAAUGUGAUCAUGAUCAGACUUAACUCUUGUGCUUGCCAGCCCAUGACAUCUAUUGAGUGGGGAAAUAUGUAAAAACUAGACUUCCUUUUCAAUACAAGUGGCCAAAAAAUAUAUGGUCCCAUCCCAUUAGCAAUAGUGUAAUAAACAUUGCCCAAUCCUUAGGGUUCAAUGACUCCAUCUUUUUGUACUGUAAUUUUUCAAUAAAUUUGUUCAUAAUUUGCAACUACGUUGUUUAGAUGGUGGGAUAAGAAUAAUAGUUUUAUGAUAAAAUAUAAAAUUAUUUUAUUCUGCAUUCGGUUACGGGUAUUAAUUAGUCGCAGAGUUAUUUUUCCUUGUUUUAUUCCACUAUUUAAACUAAAAUAAUGGAAUUAGUUGUCCCAUAUAGAAGAUAGGACAACUAAACUCAAUUUAUAAAAUAUCCUUGUUUAUCCCAUCACCAAUCAAACGACCUAGCUUACUAAACUAUUAAGUUUUGAAGGGGCAUGAGAAAGAGACAAUUAAUUUGAAAUACUACUUGUGAAAUUUGUUUUCUCUAUACCUCGAUUGAGGAGGUCAUUUUCCUCUUCUUCUUUUUUGAAUUAAUCUUAUUUUUCCUAAAUAAAAUGUUCUUAAAAAAAAUUGAAUAACCAAAUAUGAAAAAAAUGUUUUCCUUUGUAUCAAACACACUAUACACUCUAUUAUAUGUAUUCGGCAGAAUUCAAUAACAUUAAUUCAAAUCAUUUAUAAAUAUUUAGAAAUUCACUAAUUAAGUACCUAUAAUGAAUUGUGAAUCCAAUAACAUAAAAUGGGUUAGAAGUUCAACAACAAGCGAGGAAUCUAAAACACAUGAAACUUAAAUUUUAAAUCCGCCUCGACAAUGUAUAUACCGAAAACUUAGAAUGCCCCACCUCACGUUUUUAUGCUAUAUGCAUCUUCAUUAUUGAAAGUGAUUGAAAUGGAAUCUGUGAAAGAAUUAUUGCAGCAUUGUUCAUUUCAACAAAUAAAACAAAUAAUUGAGCAGAAAGGAUGGCAAAAAGAAAAGUUUAUAGUACUAUAAAACAUAUAUUUUUUUAUACACAAACAUAGUGGACUAAUUUAAUCUUGGGUUGGAUUAGUUUCCCAUAUGAUCACUCUACUUUUAUUUUACCACACUAAGGUCAAAAAAAUUAAUUUUACUAAUAAAAAAAAUAUUCAACUUUUUUCUUAAAUAUCACCAAAAAAAACACUAAACUAUUUUUUGUAAGAACACAACACUCUAAUAUGCCUAAGUAUCACCAAGAGUCACUAAGUAAUUCAUUCAUAACAAAAGAAAAAUCACUCAACUUGUUUAAUUAAAUAUCAUAUAAAAUAUCUCUUUAUUUUCUCCUAAUGAGUAAUUUCAGCGAUACAUAACGAAGUUAAGUGAUUUUUUUAUACUUUAAUCACCUAAUUUGAUUUUUUUUUUGUCAUGAACGACAAUUUAAUGACUUUAGUAUGAUAAUUUGAAAGUUCGGUGAUCAUACAUAAAACUAAUCUUAAUUAUGUAUCUGUGAAAGUGGUCACUAUUGCUUACAUUAAGAUAGACUAUAUUUACAUCACUCCUUAAAAUGCAACCUUUUUCGAACCCUACGUAAAACGUGAAAUACUUUGUACAUCACACUGUCUAAUUCCAACUACUAGUAGUUCUUACUUAUUUAAGACAAGUAGAAGGGGGGAGGUGAAGAGAGAGAGAGAGAGAUAGAGAGAGAGAAUGAAGUUCUUGUUCCAAUGUCCAUGUUGUUCUUGUUUUUGCUUCAUGAAGCCCCAAAAAGGUAAACCAAAAGCCAAAGAAGAACCCAAACUUAAAGCCAAAGUUGAAGAACCAAAACCUAAAGACAAGAAGGUGGAAGAAGCAAAACCAAAAGAGAAGGAAGAAAGCAAGCCACAAUGAAAGAAGAGGAAAUGGGAUAAUGCAACUAUAUAUUAUGCUCAUACAAGUAAUAUUGUUCUUCAUUUACUUAAAUUUACUUCUAGUUUGAAAUAUAUAUUGUGUGCAAUUGCAAUCUUACUCUUUUGAGAAAAGCCUCAUCCUAAAUGUAUUCUUAUUACAAAAUAUUUGCACUUUAUUCACUAUGAUAUGCAAACCUAGUCUUCAUUAUUAACUAUGUUGCUUAGAUCCUUUGAAUAUAUCAUCACACUCAUAUCAAAUUCUAAAAAAAUGUAUAACUUUUAAAGGAUUUGAUGUACAUUCAAAAGAAAUUUUGAAGGAUAUGAAAAACAUAAUGAUUGGUUAAAUUUCUCUGAAUUAAUUUCUCAAAUAUUUAUCGAACUUGGAGUUUUUUCUAUAUAAAAAAAACUAUUUUUUUGUCGGUGUAAAGUGACUCAACUUAAAAAUAUUCUCAGAAAAUAACUUGACCCAGAAAAACCACAUAAGCAAGCCAAAAUACCAUGUUUGUACAUACGAGUGAUUAUUAUUUUUAUACAAAUCAAGGCGAUAAAAGGCACGCAUUAAUAUUUAGAUAAAUUAAAUUAAUUUAUUUAUAUAAUUAAAUUAAUUUAGAUCAAUUUCAAUUAGUUUUUUUUUUUUUUUUUGGAUAUUACUCUACACUAAAUCCUAGUUCAUGCCUAUUUAAAGGUAAUAUAUUCCCUUGAAAAAGGCAGGUAUUUAGAAUAUUUUAUAAUUUUUGGGUAUUCACAAAGAGAGCAGGAAGAUAUCAAAUAUUGUCUUUCAUCAAGGAAAUCUUGAAUAUCCCAUAAACUUUGGGAAUAUUCAUAAAGAUCAUUUCAAGAUGUGGUCGAACUCUUCUUGACAAUCAAAUAAUUCAAGAAGACCCACAAAAUCCUUUCAUGGAGAUCAAAUAUUAAGAUAUGGUCGAAUUCUUCUUGACAAUCAAAUACUUCAAGAAGAUCCACCUUGCAUCGAGAUCUAAUAAAUCUCAAGGAGAUCCAAAUUAUCCUAAUUUGAGAAAUACACUAUUAAAGCCCUCGAUUCACGGAGAAAAUUCAAAUAGGAGAAUCAAGGGAACAAAUAGAGUUGUAAUCAUAUUGUUUUAUCAAUAAAACUAUGUUUCUUGAUAUUUCAUUUGCAAUUGCAAUUUAUUUCUAUCACUUUAAAAUUAGUUGCAACCAAUAAUCUUUCCAUAUAACGAACUAUCUCCUCGCAUUUUGAAUAUGAGUCUUUUUUAGCAAUCAUUUUAGUAAUUAGUACUUACAAUUAGUUUUUGUUUCAAAUUAAGAGUUAUUUUAGCAACAAAAAAGAAACUCAAAAUAAUUAUCACCAAAUAUCAAAGAUAAAAAUUAGUAUGUUUUUCUUACUAUACUUUUGUGCUUUAUCUUUUUAACGGUGCUCAAUUUUCAGAAAAUAUUUAUUAGAUAGAAAUAAUUUAGUAACUUAUAUAUUAUAUUUAUUAAUUUUUUGAUAAACAUAAUUGUUUUGAGAAUAAUAUUUUGGGACGGAGAAGGCAUUGAAGAAAACAGGAGAAUAAUCACAUUUCGAUUGUUGUGAACAACGUUGUGGACUGUGAUAAACAAACCAAUCUGAAAAAUUCAAAGCCCAAUUUUUGGUGGGUCUUCUAAAAUAAAUUUGAGUUCACCACUCAAGUCCAAAAUAAAAAAUCUCAAAAGCCCAAUUUAUGAAAUUUUUAUAUAUAUAAAGUAAUAUAAGUGAAAUAUGGGAAAGAAGAAUAUAAAAUAAAAGUAUGAUAACUAAAUGAAUAAUGCAAGAAGAUAAAUGUAUAUGUAAUAAAUAAAUUAGGCGGGAGAGCAGAUCAUGCGUUAAAUAAAGCAAAUAAUUAAUUAAAGAUAGGUGCUAGUACCAACCAUAUGAAAUAAAGGCAAUAAAAAGAUAAAUUAGUAAAGAAAAAAAUAGUGUAAAAAUUAAAAUUUGAUGUUAUUAUCAAAUCAACUUUAAAGACUACAAAGAGGAGAGCAAACUCUCACCAAAACUUCUUAUGAGAGAGAGAACGUUGUUUGAAAGAAAAAUAAUGUGUCUUAUUAUAAAAUAGAAAGGAAGGCUAUUUAUAACCAAAAAUUAUUACAAUAAGUUAUAGUAAUGCUACAAUAUUACCCACAAUAAUUUUAGUCCAUAUUUGUUAUUGUAUCAUAUGACAUCCUUGUGAUAUCGAAUUAGCUUAAAAUUUACAUCUUCUUUUAUCUUCAUACUUCGAUUUCUUCGACUCCUAUGAAUGAUUGUUAGAGAAUUCAACUUUGAUUUGUUGGAGAAUUUUUUCGAUUAUUGGAUGAAAUCUCUUUUGCUAAUCGAGCUAGCUAGUUGUGCAAUUACAAUUGAUUUGUCACAUAAGCUUUCGAUGGAUUCUAACUCUUGUACCAUUUGUAAUGACAUUGGAGAGAUAAUCUACAAACUUUUGAAAAUAUAUCCAUGAAAUAUGAUAUCUAUGUAGAUGAAUCAUUCUUGUUCACAAUUGAGAUUUGUACAUAUAUACCAAAUAAAACAACAAUAUCUAAGAUGAUAAUUUGUUGACUAUUAAGAUUAUACUAAUAUGUUAUCAUUGUUCGAAACUUAAUCUGCACAUGUUAGUUAAGUAAUAGCCUUUUAGGGUAUUUAAUUGAUCAAACUUAAUUUAUUCGAGAUGUUGAAUAUAGUUGAACUUAGUUUUCUAUCAUAUUCAAUUCGAAACUUAAAAAUCGAUUAUACAUGCCGUUGAUUGUUUGUUCUUUAUGGGACGAGUUUUAGACACGAUUAGUUGACAACUUUUUAAAUUUCAAAUUUCAUAUAAAAUAUUUAAAAUAAUGUAUAUAUAUAUAUAUAUAUAUAUAUAUUUAUAAAUACCCAUAGCACUAUUUUUUUGAUAAUAUAUGUGGAUAACUUUUCUCCAAGUAGAUAUUCUAUCCAUUUGAUUCCAAACAUACUCCAGAACAUUGCAAUUGGUACACACCUUAUUGGUCCUCACAGUUUCCCAAAUUGUUUUUCUUAUCCUACCUUCACUUUUCAUUAUUAUUGGGAUAAUGCAAAAAAAAAAAAAAAAACAUUAAAUAAGUUUACUGAGUAAAUAAUAUCAAAAAAAAUAAUUUAGAUGUGCGACUAAUAAUUUUACUAUUAUUUUGGAGUAUCUCUAUAUCUUAUCCCUUUAUUUAUUUUACUCUUCGUUUAGUUUUAUCGCUUAAUCUAAUUACACAUGAACUUCAAAAAAUGAAGAAAAUAAUUUAGGAUUUAUAAUUUUAAAUAUUUCAUGAGAUUAUUAUGAUCAUAAAAGUAUUUAAAUUAUUUUAAAUAUAAAAAUGUAAUUCUUUUUAAAAUAGAGUAAUAAGAAUAUAAUGUAAUAUAAAAUAGAUUAAUAGAAUAAGAUCUUUUGCCUUACUUAGCUUCAAAUUUUAAUUUAUAUGACAUAAUUUGAAUCAAUAAAAAAUUGAAAGUUUUAUUUAAAAUCUGUAGGUUUAAAAUAUCAACAUUUAUGUGAUGAUAAAAUAUUUCAUUAAGAGCCAGAUAAGUAUAAAGUUAAUAGAAUUCCUUAAUAUUGUUAACACAAAAUAUUUUCUUUAUUUUAACACAAAUUUAAUUAUUUGCCCUAUUUCAAUUUAUGUGAGCAUUUUUUUUUUUGGAAAAUUGUAUAUAAUAGCAAAUUAUUAAUUCAAAUUAAAUGCUAUAAAUAUACUUUGAUUUAAUUGUACCCUAUAGCAAACUAUUGCUAUUUUCGCCACUCUCGUUUGGUGGCAGUCUCGCUCGCCUCUCUCGCUUUUAUACAAACACAAAUGUAUAAAAUGUGUUUGUGUUUGUAUAAAGUGAGAGGAAAUUGUAUAUAUACAUAUAUUUUCUCUCCCCUCUCCCAGAUCUCGCUCGCCACUCUCCCAAAUCUCGCUCGCCACCCUCGCCUCUCUUGCUUAUACAAACAGAAACGAAACAUAUAAAUUGCACUUCUGUUUGUAUAAAGCAAGAGAAAAUUGUACAUACACAUGCAAAUACAUAUAUAUUCGUCCUAUACACUUAUAAUUAUACAAUACAAAUAUUUCUCUGCCCAGUUUUCGUUUGCCUUUCUCUCUUUCUCGUUUUAUACAUACACAGAUUAUACAAUUGAUCUUUUGUAUAUAAUUGCUUUCUUUUGUAUAUGUAUAGCGAAUUAUACAACUGCCUUCUUUGUAUAUGUAUAGCAAAUUAUACAACUGUUUUUUUUGUAUAUGUAUAGUGAAUUAUACAUAUAUAUGUUUGCUAUAGAGCGCAAUUAUGCAAACUUUGCUAUAGCAUACAAAUAUGAAUUUUGUGUUUGCUAUAUGUGAAAGUUGCUCUUUUUUUUUUUUUUUACUUUAUCACAAAAAAAUAAAAUAACUUAUACUUAAUAUUUUACUAUCCUAAUUUACAUCACACACACUUUUUUUUAAUUUAUCCAAAAUAAUGACACAUUACUAUAAUCGAAAAUAAUUUUGUUUUGAGAUUUGUUUUGAACCAUAAAUUUCAGCCACCUCGUUCAUCCUUUUUAUAUAAAAAAAAUUGUAUCACUUAAAUAGUAUCACAUAAAUUGAAAUCGGAAAAAGUAACAAUUUAAUUUUAAAUUCUCAUUUAAUCCUUUUCUAGACAUAAUAAUUUCUACGACUUGUGUGAAUUAUGAAACAUACAAAUGUAAAGUAGUACUUUUUUUUUUCUUCAAAGUUGUGGUCAAUCAAACAUGUAAAUUAAAACGAAGAAAAUAAUAUUUUGGAGCAGAUAUUUUUUCCUCAUUACAACGGUAACCUUUAUCUAAAGUAGUGCACAACUGCACACAAAGUCUAUAUAAACUUUGUUGUCUCCCUUUUAACCUUUCUAUUCUUUCCACUUUUUGUUUUUCUAGACUUCUCGUGAAGAACUAUUUCCUUUUUCUUUUUUUUUCUAUUUCUCGUGACUCUUUUUUAGUGUAUACUUUUAUCACCACACAAAAAAAGAGUCAUAUUGAACCCCAUUUUGAAACAAAGAGAAGAAAAACAUUGUCCAUGGCUCAGCAAAGACAUGUUGUAGUGUUACUUGUGUUGGCUUGUUUGUUUACAUCUUCAUAUUCUUCUCAAUAUACUGUUGGUGGCAAAGAUGGUUGGGUCCUUAACCCUUCUGUUGAUUACAACACUUGGUCUCAACAUAUGAGAUUCAUAAUCAAUGACUCUGUUUGUAAGUCUUCUCCUUCCUCUCAAAAGUCAAAAUACUGUUAUUUUUUAAGAGUCCGAGCAAUAAUAUUUGAUGAUAUUUGUUAUUUUUUGUGUUUAUAGUGUUUAAGUAUAAGCAAGGAGCAGAUUCUGUGUUGGAGGUGAGUAAGGAUGAUUAUGAUAAGUGUAACACUGGCAAUCCAAUUAAGAAAAUGGAGGAUGGAAACUCCAUUUUCACGUUGGAUCGUUCUGGUCCUUUUUACUUUAUCAGUGGCAACAAAGAUAACUGUGAUAAAGGCCAAAAGUUGCAAAUUAUUGUUAUCUCUGUUAGGAACCAAGGUAAACCACCACAAACUCCGGCACCGGGAGUUGCUCCACCUAGUAAUGGAUCAACUACACCGUCACCUACGGGUUCACCACCAUCUACUGGAGGUACGCGGAAUCAGAAUUUUAAUUUUAUCCGUUCAAUUUUUUAGAUUCUUAGUAUGUUACAUGAGUCGAUUGAACUUACGAGAUUAAUGCAGGCUCCUCUCCGGCAGCUUCUCCGCCUAAAGGAUCGUCUACACCUGGUACACCGUCACCCACGGGUUCACCACCAUCUACUGGAGGUACGCCGGAUCAGAAUUUUAAUUUUAUUCGUUCAAUUUUUCAGAUUCUUAGUAUGUUACAUGAGUCGAUUGAACUUACGAGAUUAAUGCAGGCUCCUCUCCGGCAGCUUCUCCGCCUAAAGGAUCGUCUACACCUGGUACACCGUCACCCACGGGUUCACCACCAUCUACUGGAGGUACGCCGGAUCAGAAUUUUAAUUUUAUUCGUUCAAUUUUUCAGAUUCUUAGUAUGUUACAUGAGUCGAUUGAACUUACGAGAUUAAUGCAGGCUCCUCUCCGGCAGCUUCUCCGCCUAAAGGAUCGUCUACACCUGGUACACCGUCACCCACGGGUUCACCACCAUCUACUGGAGGUACGCCGGAUCAGAAUUUUAAUUUUAUUCGUUCAAUUUUUCAGAUUCUUAGUAUGUUACAUGAGUCGAUUGAACUUACGAGAUUAAUGCAGGCUCCUCUCCGGCAGCUUCUCCGCCUAAAGGAUCGUCUACACCUGGUACACCGUCGGCACCUUCAGCUAAUGCUCCGGCAGGAUCAUCUACACCGGGUGCGUCGUCACCUAAUGGGGCACCAGUAUCUACUCCUGCAGGUAAAUUAUAAAUGAAUUUGGAAUUUCAAUUUGACAGAUUCCAUGUUUUGAUUUCGUUCGAUUUUUAACGUAUUGCACUUUUGAAAUAGUGAAUUGAAUCAUAUAGUUUAUCUGUUUGUUCAGGUAAAUCACCAACCUCAUCACCAACACCUUCCGGUUCAACCGCAUCUCCACCAGCUCCUGCGACCGGAGGAUCCGUAGCUCCGGCAAUGUCUCCGGUAGCUAAUGGACCGUCAACUAGUACUCCAGGUUCUUCUUCACCGGUGGCAGGCGGACCAUCGUCUGGAAGCAGUAUGGCA